rnacentral:lncRNA from 1 species
CCCCCACCCAUCUCUCUCUUACUGUCGUGUUAUAACUUCUGUCUAAUCACCUCCUUCCCCCUUCGCUUUUCUCCUACUCUCUCUCUUUCUCCCGAUCUCACUCGCGCACCACCAUUUCUCUUCCCCCAUCUCCGUCUGAUCAAUUGCGUAAUCUGUAAUUGUAUCAAGUUGGCCGCUGUUUUCAACCUGCUACGUUCGUAGCUGCAUUUUCGAUGAAAAAUUUUUUUCCCCUUUCACACACAACCUGUCCUUCGCAUCAGUUUUAAUUAUUUUAUUUUUUAAAAUUUUAUUUACACGUAAGUUAAAAAAACAACUAAACAAACAAACGUAGAAAAGAAACUAUUACACAUGCCUCAACACAUGUUCUUUUUACUACACCAAUUAUAAAUUUAUCACUUUUAAGUUCGAUUGUAAUUCCGUUCGAUCUUGUUUCCUGUUUCUAACCAGUUUUAAUUUGGCAUUACUGUUUUGUUCGGACAACCAGUCCCCCUUUUCUUGCACACAGUAAAAAAAAAUUAAGAAACAGAACAGAUAUAACAAGUGUUAAAAGUUAAAACUCGGAAUAACCAUUUUUUUUAUUUACUUGUUUUCAAGUCGAUCUAUUUCUUACCUCUUUCUCUCUCUUUCACACACACACAAAAAAAAAAGUGAGGGGUUCCGGAGUGUCUAUUAUACAACGAAUAUCUGCUUGACUGAUUUAUUUUCUAUCGUUGUUAUCGUUGUUGCCUCUUCGUUGAUUGUUUUCUUUUCUAAAGAAGGUGGGGAAAAGUCUGGAAGAAGAAAAGGAACAAACAACUACAAGGCUACAUAAAGUUAAAAUAAUAACGAUGAUGUCACAUACACACGCGCACUGUGCUGCUAGAACAAUCGAUACCAAUAUGAUUUCUGUCCGCAGAUUUUGCAGCUGGUGGGUUAGUGGGAAAGAAAACAAAUUACUGGACAAAACGAACAAAAAAGAAAGAAAAAAAAAUGUUGUUGAAAACAUAAAGAAAGAAAAUAACUGGACAUAAAUUUUUGAAAAUUUUGCGAAAAAGCCAAAGUUGAAGUCUUUUGGAGAUUUUAAGUAAAUCUAGUUUUGCAAUAUGUCCAAAGAAAAUUUUAAAAAAAUUCUACUAUUUGGACUUCACAGGUCAGGUAAGCUGUGUUGUAAUUUGAAAAAAAGAAAGAAAAUCUGUGUGUUUGUAGUUGUUAGGGGUUUAUUAAAAUAAUUGUUCGUCAGCCUUAGAUACUUUUAACCUCCUCGUACUGCUUCGCUCUAUCUACCCCUAUCGUUUAAUCCAGGGGUGGGGUAUCUCUCGCUCGUGGGCACUAUUUUUGCCUUCAUUAUAAGUUGAAAUAGCCUCUUGUCAGUAUCUCUGAAACCCAUAAAAAAGGCGGUUUACGGGUGAAAAUUAAAAACAGUAAUUUAAUAUUUGUUACAUAACCUAUGAAUUUAUAAUAUUAAAUAUGCGCGCCGACAAGUUCUUAUGCACUUGCAGGUUCAUCUCCUGACACUGAGGUACCCCCACUCCCUAACGCAUCUAAUUCAGUGCAUCGUACUUUUUCUUUUUUCAUCCUCCCACCCCGCCUUGUGUCUUUGAGUUGGGGGCGGGAUAACAACCGUUUAAUGAGAGGAAAAGUGGUUCAUCUUUGUCGCUUAGAGUGAUUCUGUGUAAUGGUUCUGGCUGGCUUGGGUGUAGACACUUUUAUGUUGUGAGCGAAGAAAUCUUUUUCUCCCUUACCCCUCUUUCUCUUUCUAACACCUUUCUCAUCUUUUUCUCCUCCUUCUCUUUGUUCUUCCUUACCCGUGUUAGUGUGGCGAAGUAAAAAUAAAAACGUUACGUAAAAAGAGUGUGUGUGGAAAAAAGGAAAAGAAAACAAAAAACAACCCCACAACGCAGUACAAAAUAACUUCUCAAAACAGUUACAACUAUCACCAUAACUAGAGUUCUUCCGUUUUAACCACCUAGCGAGGUCAAACAAUUUAAUAAUGGACUCGUGCUUGGAUGUCAUUGCUUGUUUUUCGGUAAUUUCUUUGAUGACAAUUUUUUAAAAAAGUAGUUUGAAAUAAUAUUUAAAUAGUUGGAUUCUUCUUUUUUUUUUUUUUUGUAAUGUAGGUUUGUGUAUGUUAUGCUACUAAUAUCUGUUUAGUGUCUUUGGAAAAGACCGAAUGAAUGUCGCAACUUGGCUGCUUCCUUUUCGUCACAAAAACUCAUCAGUGGAAAAGUCUAUCGUUAUGCUGUAUGUGUGUGUGUGUGUGUGUGUGAGAUAGUGGUAUGGACUUUUUUGUCUUCAACGCCGAGAUUGCACUAUAAUCAAGUCUUUAUUUCGGUUUAAGAUGAAGCUGAAUAUUACACUACACGAAUUUGCUGCCCACUCUGACAACCAUACAAGACUGGAAGGUGGAGAAUGGAAAAAUUUUUGUUGCAUAAUGCAAAGCAACACUAACACUCAUUCACACAUUCGCACAAUAUUCAACACAUAAACACACUCCCACUAAUGCAAUUCUCCUAACACUAACGUACUCACCCACACACUGAUGCACUCACCCACACAAGCUCAUGAACGCGGGCACCCACAUAUUCUAACGCAUUCUCCCAUAUUAAUGUACGCGGGCACGCACCCACACUAUCGCAAGCACACUCAUACUCUAUCGCACUCUCCCACAUAUGUUAAUGCACGUGGGUACUCACAUACAUACUCAUUCCUUCACACACACAUGCAUUCAGCUCACCUCCUAACGCGAUUACCCACUCACAUUAAAUUGCUCACCCACGUACUCUAAUGCACUUACCCACACUCAAACGCACUUACACAUUCACUCAUACAUGUGUAACAUUCUUGCAUUCACUGUCACACUUGUACUCUUUCACAUACACUAAUAACACACUUAUAUUCGCUAACAUAUUAACACUCAAUCACUAACAGUCACUCAUAGUAACAUAAUGCCCUAACUCACCCAUAUUAGCUCAUUUGCAUUCAUUCAUUCUCUGACACUAGCAUGCAUUCAUGCACACUCUCUCAUAUAGAUAUGCUUUCACAAAUACUCAUAUACUUACUCUCUCACUCUCACACACACCUGCAAUUGGAAAUAUACUCAAUGAUACAUUCAUACAUGCUAGUAUAUUCACACACUAACUCAUUUACACUCAGUCACACACUUCUUCCUCUAUUUUACACAUAUCUCUUGCAUGUGUGUAGCCUCUCUAUUCUACUCCAAGCCAUUUUGAGUAGGACCAGAACAUGGAGGAUGGAAAGAAAAGGGAAGCCAAAAUGAAAAUCAGACGUUGGGAUGAAACCUCUCAAAGCUCUCAACUGAAAAGUUCAGUGCAUACCUUUCCAAAGUAUUAAAAUGAUAACUGAUAUUGUCUUUUAGAAUAAUUCUAUUGAAAGGAAGCUGAGAUCUGGUCAAAUUAAUCUUUUCAAUGUGGAGGUAUUUCAGAUCUGAAAUGUUGGUUUAUUAUGCAAUGAUAUUGAUUUUUGACAUAAGUACAAGGCCUCAGUUUUAUGAUAGGACAUAGUCGAUCAUAUUGCCAAGUUUCAAUUAGUACUUAUUUUUGUGCCCUUCCCGCUUGCUCCACAAAGGCAGGAUCCAACAUAAGGAGACAUACUGUACAAAUUCUGCCAAUCCACUGUCUUUCAUAGUGUGAUUGAAUGAGGUAGCAUAAACUUGCAAUUGAAAUCAUAUGGGAAUUAAGAUAAUUCUUGUCCUAAGUGCUUCCCUGUAUGAUGGAGGCAAUGCCAGAAGCAGAUUUCUUUGCAGCAAGCAUUAUUUUGAGUUAUGACUUGAAGAAAUCUAUAUUUUUGAGAGAGUGUUCCCUCUAUGUUGUAAAACAAUAUUAUGGCUGUCUCUAGAACAUUAUCACAAUCUUUAUCAACACAGAUAUUUACCUAUAUUCAGUUAAAAAAAAAAAUAAUUUAAUGAAUUUUUGAAGUGACAAUAUUAUGAUCUUGCUGGUCUUUAUCCCUCCCCAUUCUAUAUUUUCAUUUUUUUCUAUGCUACCAGUUGUCUUCUCACCUCUAACUUGUAUUUCUUUCCACCAUUCACUUCAUCUACCACUUUACUAUUCUUCCUUACCUUCCCUUAUUAUCAUCCUUCAAAACUUGUUCUACAGUAUGUUCACCUCCUUUGUUGCUCAUCAUUAUAUUCACCUCUUUGCUCAUAUUCCCAUCUAACCAUCUUUCACUCACCCAUAUUCUUGCAACUUCUAUUCAGCCACACUCCCUGUUCUACCUACACUUAUUUCUACAUCCCUUGUAUCUUGAGUGUGCACCCUUACAUCUCUUCACUAUAUUUAUCUUUUUCUAUCUCCACCUUAGCCGCUCUAACACUCUAUUUCGUUAUUAACCAUGUAGCUCCCCUACAGCAAGAAAUUUGUUUUCUUCUGGUCCCUUCUCUCAAACUUUAUUCCUUCAUCUCCUAGCAUAAAGCCACCCCUUCCCUUCUACUGUAGUGCCACUUAAUUGAAAGGCAUCUUAGUCUUGCAAGCUGCUCGACAACUUCACUAGUGUUGGUGCCAUGAAAAACUGCAGCCAGUACACUGUGAAAUAGUUGGUAUUAGGAAGGGUAUCUAGCUAUAGAAACCAUAUCAAAGUAGACAUUGAAGCACAAUGCAGUCCUCAGACCCAUUGGAUCCUUCAAACUGCCCAAAUCAUGCCAGCAUAGAACAUGGACUUUAAAUGAUGAUGAUGAUUUUGAUUAGUUCUAUAAUCCAUAGUUCAUAAAAGGCACCACUGAAGACUUUCAAAAAGAUAUAUGUGAAAAAAUAAAACUUUGUGUAUGUGUCAUUUCUAUGUGUAAUCAAUAAUGUAUACAUGGUUAUCCCCCUGAUCACUUUUGCAUCAGCUUUUCCUGGCUUGCAUAGGUUGGGAGAAUCUUUUCUAACACAAUAACUUGCUAUUUUUUGUGGUCUUUUAUAUUCUUUCUCAAGAGGUUCAGCUUUUUGAGAUUAGAUUUCACUGCUUGUUCCUGUGUCGUCCUUGGUCUUUUUCCGCCACAAGUUCCUUCUAUUUGGAUUACUCAACACUUCUUUACUCAAAUGUCAUCCAUUAUAUGUAUUCUACAUGUCUGUGCCAGUGCAUUUUCUUUCUUGCAUACCAUCGUAUUCUUUUUAUAUAUAGUUUUUCUUACAAUUCAUUUGUGUUCGUGUACACUAACAUUACAUCUCCAGUGGAGCAUGUUUUGUAUCACUUCUUUCUUGCUUUAAUAUAUCUUUCACAUUCAAUGCCCAUGUUUUACAACCAAGUGACACCACACUUUGUACUCUGCUUUUCCCUUAGAAAGUGAACUGACUUGUUGCCAGCAGAAACAAUGGCUUUCAGAAUUUUACCCCUAUAUUUUUGAACAAUCACUUUCACUGUAUGAAUAUUCGAAAGAAUUCAUUUCAUGACUUCUCUUAUUGCUAACAUCUGCUUCCUCUGAGAUCUUUCUACUCUGCUGGCCUGCCUGUGGUGUCAUGUCAUCUAUUGUGUACUGAAAUUUUGCAUGUGCCAUGCAGUUCAGAGUUCCUUACUUUUUUUCAAAAUAUUGGGGCAUAGCAAUCUCCUUGAUGGCAGUGGAGUCCUAUUCCCCUGCUUGCUAGAAAUUCUGUCUUCAAAAUUUAUAUUUAGGCUUUAUGAUUUGAGGGUUUACUUCCAUGUUUAGAAUUUCUUCUAUAUUUCUUUUAGCUUACAUGAAAUUCCAAAGACGACUGGAUGUAAACGACUUUGUUCUGUAAUAAAUGAUGGGCAACUGAGCCCUGGUGGACAUCUACUUCCAUACUAAAUUUUAUGCUAAUCUUGUUACUAACUUUCCACCUGGCUGAUAAGGUCUCUGUACAAGGUUUCCAUGCCACUCACAAGCCAUUUGUUUCUAGAUUUCUUAGUGACUGCCAGAGAAGAGAAUAAAGUAUCUUGUCAAAGGCUUACUAGGUUGACAAAUGCCAGGAAUAGUGGCUUUAUUUUAGCCAAGAACUAAUGUAGUUAUCUCACUAGGAAGAGGGACACCCCACUUGGAUACAAAUCUGAACUGCACCUCAUUUAACCCUUUAGCAUUCAGAUUAUUUUGUGAAAUGUAAUGCUUAUUUAUUCACACUGUUUUGAAUUAAUCAAGUAUUUGUCUCAUAGCUUCGAGAUUUCAAUGAUGUGAUGGGCUAGAUCUGUCUUUUUUUAAUAUAAAAUUAGUUGAAUAUUUAGGCCAAGUUUGGCUGGUUUAAAUGCUAAUUCUUUUUCUUAUCACUUGUGCUAUAACUUUUUCAAUUACUCAGUCCAUUGGUUUGGUGCCUCUCUAGUUCUUUCUCAAGUAUCUCCUAUCUUCUAGCAGUUGAUGAAGACUGUGACUGUAACACCUCUCUGUUAUACUUGACUAUGUGCAUAAUAACAUGCAACCUUCUUUGAAUAUUUGUAGUGUGUGAGUGUCCCUAAUUCUACAGCCACUUUCUCUAGAUUCCUAUGUUUACGUUUCCGAUCAUACAGAUGUUCUCUCUCUUGAGGCUACUUCAAGCAGAACUUCUCUGUCCCACACAUACUCAUUCAGCAACCUCUUGUAACAUUUCUAUGCCUCUUUUUUCUUGAAUUUUAGUGAAUGGAAUGCAUACAUAACAUUCCAUGCAUAUUUUUGCCCUAUGUCUUGAUGAGCCUAAUGCAUUGUUUUGCAGUUUGGAGCACCACAUGCUUCGGUUUCUGUUAUUGCAAAAGAUUUGGAAGCCUCUUGCUUUCAUUUUCUCUCCUAACUAUGUAUAUCUGAUAUUUAGGUUUCCUUGCUUCUCUGCUUCCCCAAAUCUAUCCAUAUCUGCCAAUUAGUUUUCAGAACUCUAUCUUUUGUAUCAAUCCACUAUGUUACCUUCUGUCUGGCUGGAAUAUUGCUCCAUCUGCAUUUUGUAUGUGGUUUGCUGAAAGUGGUUUCCCAGAAACACUAAGUUGAUGCUUAUAUGUCUAUACUACAAUAAAGAAAGCUGCUUAUUUAUUAGUUGAAACUAUGUAAGCCUACCAUGUCUAAAAAUAUUCUUAUAAAUUCCAAUUUUAAUGUAUAUUUUUGAUUAAAAUAAGAUUUUCUAAAUUCUUUUAUUGAAGAUUCAAGUACACUCCUCAAUCACAAAGCUAAUUUUUAUUCACUGCAACAAACCUCUCUCUCUUUCUCUCUUUAUAUUUAAUGGUUUUCAUUAAAUUAUUCAUAUUCACUGUAACAAUAUGUCCCCCUCUCUCUUCAAUUGUUUCCAUUAAAAGAAAAGCUUUUCUUUAAGAUACCUUAAGAAUAUCUGUGGAAAUUUUUACAAUAUCUAAUGUAUUAAAAUUACAUAGAAGUAUUAUUUCAUUCUGGACAGUUGUGUUAACCAUAGUCCUUUGAAAAUGAAACCCUUGAAUUAUUGUCUUUGUUUAAACUGACUUUGUGUUCUUUUCUUUCUUUUUUGCCGCAUUCCACCUUUCAGUCUUUGUCUCUUCUCUGUCUCACAAACUUCAUUUGUAACCUUUGCCUUGUCAUUUCACUUAAUUCUUUAUUUCCCAGCACAGUUGUUACUUUCACUCUGUUCUCUCUCUCUCUUUCUUCAAAACAAGUGGUUUCAAAGAUUUUCUUUGAGAUACUUUGAGAACAUUUCAGAAAAUGUUUACACUAUAUCUAUCAUAUCAAAAUUGCUUUGCAGAUAUCAUUUGAUAUUUGCAAAAAUAAAGAAAAGAUUGUGUGUGUAUAUUGGGAGAAAUGCAAACACGACAAAUUCCUGUAAAAAACUGCCGUGAGGGCAGUUUUCUGAAUAUUAAGUACUUAUUUUUCUUGACUAUUUAUUUAGUACUUAUUAAAACUGCUGUCCAGCUGAUAGAAUUUCAUUCUCCAUGUCUUCCUGCUUAAGGUUGUUUUGUGUCUUAUAGUCAAUUUAGCUCUGAUUUUGAAGUUGCUGAUCACAUAAAUGUGUAGAGUGGUUCAUUUUUCAUCAUGAAAUAUCUUAAUAUUAGAGACCAGUAACAUAUGCCAUUUCAAGGUAAUACAAAAUAUAUCUGGCUUGUCUGUUCAACUUAUUGGUAGGUAAUCAGAUGCCUGGCAAAUGGUUAGGUAUGUUUCUGUGUGUAUUUAUGAAUGGAUAUUGUGUACAUGUAUAUAUACAUGUGUGUGUGUUUGUAUGUGUGUAUGUAUAUAUAUAUAUAUAUAUAUAUAUAUGUGUGUGUGUGUGUGUACAAGUGUGUAUGUAUAUAUAUGUGUGUGUGUGUGUACAAGUGUGUAUGUAUGUAUGUAUGUAUAUAUAUAUGUGUGUGUGUGUGUGUACAAGUGUGUAUGUAUAUAUAUAUAUGUGUGUGUGUUUGUGCAGCUCCUCAGCUUAAGUCAAACCAUCCAACCCAUGCCAGCAAGGACAACAGACAUUAAAUGAUGAUGAUAUAUAUAUAUAUAUAUAUAUAUCCAUGUCGAGGACAUGUAAAAAGCACCAACUGAUUGUGGCCGUUUGCCAGCCUCCUCUGGCCCCUGUGCUGGUGACACGUAAAAAGCACCCACUACGAUCAUCAAGUGGUUGGCAUUAGGAAGGGCAUCCAGCUGUAGAAACACUUCCAGAUCAGAUUGGAGUCUGGUGCAGCCUCUUGGCUCCCAAGACCCCAGUCGAACCGUCCAACCCAUGCUAGCAUGGAAAACGGACAUUAAACGAUGAUGAUGAUGAUAUAUAUAUAUAUAUAUAUAUAUGGCAGAAUUUUUUUUGAAAAUGCACCUGAAUUUGAAAAGCUUGUAAUUGUUUUUAAAUAAAUUUAUUUACACAUAUACCAAACCAGUUACAACAAAAUUUUACUUAUCAAUGGUAUAAACAUAUAUAAAACAAUGGGAUUUUUAAAAUUGCGAAUUAGAAAACCAGUUUAAAUGAUAAAUUAUUCACAAAAUUCAAUGACAGGGGUAGAUAAUACCAUAAAUGAUUGGUGAAGAAUAUGAAAAAUGUAGAUUAUUAAAAGUUCGGUAUUAUUGAGUUUAGAGAGAGAAAUAAGAAAAGAAGAGAGUAAAAAAACAGGGUUUUUUUUUUCUUACAGUUUGUGUGUGAUUGUUUUUUCCGAUGUCUACAGGGCUUGGAAAAUUUUGUGACCAGGGGCUUGAAUUUUGUAAACAUUUUAUCAUUUAAACAUGUUUUCUACUUCACAAUUAAAAAAUUUUUAAAUCUCAUUGUUUUAUAUACAUUUAUACCAUUGAUUAACAAAAGAUUGUUGAAAAUAGUUUGGUAUGUAUGUAAAUAAAUUUAUUUAAAAAGAAUGAAAAUAUUUUGAAAUUCAGAUGAACUUUCAAAAACAAAUUCGCCUAUAUUUUUUUCUUUCAAGGAAAUACACCCCUUCUUUCCAUAUAUCCAUACAUCUAUCUGUCUGUCUGUUUGUCUAUCUACAUACAUACACAGACACACACACACACAUGUAUGUUUAUGUGUGUAUGCAUAUAUCAUCAUCAUAUGUCUGUUUAUGCUUCCUUGGGUUUCAUGGUUUGACAAAAUGUGAGGAGCUGCAAGGCUAAGUCAUGCUCCAGUGUCAGCUAUGCCUUCAUUUCUACAGCUAGCUGCCCUUCAUGAUGCCAGCUUACAUGUAUAUAUAUAUAUAUAUACAUAUAUAUGUGGACACGUUUGUGUGUUGGUUAUCUAUACACAGAUAUAUGUCUGUAUAUGUAUAUAUAUAGAUAUCCAUCUAUAUGGUAUGUAUAUAUGUGUGUGUGUGUGUAUAUAUAUGUCUAGAUAGGUGUGUAUAUAUAUAUAUAUAUAUAUAUAUAUACACACACACACAUGUAUAUCUGUAUAUCCAAGUAUGUAUGUGUUUCUGUGUCUAUGUGUAUGUAUGUAAAUAUAUAUAUAUAUGUAUGUAUGACUAGCAGGAGUACCCAGUGUUGCUUGGGUAUUAAAUACUUUGCAAUGGUCUUAAUAGGUUCUACCAUUUUUUGUUUUGUACAUCUCAGUGAAUAUUGUUUGCGUUAAGUUGCAAAAAUUGACAUUGAGGAAGAAGUGAUUUUUCCCAUAGACCAUAAAUAAAGUAGUAACAACAGGAUGAAAAGCCUGAGGCGGCACAUUUUUUACCACUAACUGCAUUCCGUUGCACAGACAUAGUGACUCCAGGUUCCUCAACAGCAUGAAUGGAGCUCCAAUUUUGAGGUGCAAUUGAUGAGGUGGUAGUCUGGAGGAGUCCAAGGAAUUGAGGAAUUCUGUGGGAAAAUUAACGGCGUCUUCUUGGUCCACAAGAGUGUCCACAGACUUGUAGGUGUGAAGGUUUCCAGAAGGGCUUUGCAGUAGGUCUUUAUUGAGUUUCGCAACAAAUGUGUUUUUGGGAGCUAAUAUGGCUCUUUUGCACAGCCAAUUCAGGUUUUGAUAGUUUAUGUGCAGAUCAGGAAAAACAGCAGUCAUAUAUGUGUAUAUAUAUGUAUCUUUAUAUAUAUCAUCAUCAUCGUUUAACGUCCGCUUUCCAUGCUAGCAUGAGUUGGACAAUUUGACUGAGGACUGGCAAACCAGAUGGCUGCACCAGGCUCCAAUCUUGAUCUGACAGAGUUUCUACAACUUGAUGCCCUUCCUAACGCCAACCACUCUGAGAGUGUAGUGGAUGCUUUUACGUGCCACUGGCACGAGGGCCAGUCAGGCGGUACAUGCAACAGCCACACUCAAAUGGUGUUUUUUUAUGUGCCACCUGCACAGGAGCCAGUCCAGCGGCACUAGCAACAACCUUGCUUGAAUGUUUUUCACGUGCCACCAGCACAAGUGCUAGUUUGGUGACACAAGUGCUAGUAUGGUGACACAAGUGCUAGUUUGAUCAGGCUCGAAUGGUGCUUUUUACCUGCCACUGACACUGAAGCCAGUUAGCUGCUCUGGCAAUGAUCACACUCAGAUGGUGCUCUUAGCACUCCUCUAGCAUGGAUGCCACUCAUCGAAUUUGAUUUCAAUUUCGAUUUUACUUGCCUCUACAGGUCUUCGCAAGCAGAGUUUAGUAUCCAAUGAAGGAAAGGUACGCAUAAGUGGGCUGGUUACACCCCUGGCAUAGGCCACAAGGUUAUGGUCUCAUUUGGCUUGCUGGGUCUUCUGAAGCACAGCAUAUUUCCGGAUACGUCCAGCCUUUAGGACAGCCCUGAAAGAAAAGAAAGAUGGACGAUGGUCACGUGUGAGCAAUGAGAAACGAGAAAGAUGGCUACUUAUAAAUGCCAAAACUUUCCCAGCUGAAGAAUGCACCCCUCAACAUAGAAUAGUAGUUAGUGACUUCAGGAUCAGGGCUAAAUCGAUGCCCAGAAGACAACCAGCAUAGAGAAGGGUCUGAAAGCUUUAGGAUCCUGCAAGUGGAUAUCACUCAAUGCUUAUGAUGAAACAGAGGGGCAUAUAGCAUCACUUGCUGUGGAAGACAACUGGAGGUUUAUACAGGACAACCUGUUGAGGGCUACUGACCAGAUCUGUGGAUGGUGCAAAGUCUCUUCUUGACACAGGGUAAUGUGGUGGUGGAACAGUGUUGUUGACAGGUCCAUUAGGGAAAAGAAACAGAUAUGGAAGGACUUGAAGAACAGUGGUAGCUGGGUAUUGUAUCAGAUUGCCAGAAGGGAAGCUAGGAGACAGGUUUACUUAGCCAGAGGGGAAGCAGAUACAAAAAAUUUGCCCAUGUUCUGCGUCAUGAGAACCAAAGACUUGAAGUGUUUUGUGUUGCAGGACAGUGUGAGAGAGAGAAUUGUGAUGUCAUAGAGACAUGUGUCCGAAUGGAUGAUGGUUCGCUUGCAUUUAAUGAGGCUGCAAGGUGAGAUACUUGGAAAUGCCACCAUGAAAGGUUGCUAAAUGAAGUGAAUGAAUGGGAGAAAGAGAGUCUGCCAAAUGUCAACCCAAUGGAGGGAUCAGCUAUUUGAAUUGACAGUACCUUGGUAGAUAAAGCAAUUAAGGGUAUGAAGACAGGGAUUAUAUCAAUAUGUGAUCAAGGGAUAUUAAAAAAAUUGCAAGCAAAAAUCAAACUUUUGGAGUUGAGAAGCAGCAAAACUGGAAUUUCCCAGAAGAAAUCAGAGUGCAGAACAGCCAAUCAAGUGCCUUCAAGAUCUUUAUGAUACUUGUAAAAAGAAGGAGAAACUUCAGCUUCGAUUUAGUUGAUCUAACAAAAUGUAUUAAUUCUUUGUUAUGUUUAAAAAUUUGCUAACAUUUAGCACCCUUUUUCUUAUACAGUUAUUUAAAAUUGCAAUGAAACCUAUAAAGUUAAGGAUAUGUAUUGUUAUUAAUUUUGUAUGUUAUCAAAUGCUUAUAGAUGCUUCUGUCUUAAAACAGCCUAGUUUUGAACUUCUGCAUAGAGCAAAAAAAUGUAUAAAUGCACCUUUGUUUCACAUGUCGCUUGCAUUUACAAGGAUUAAGGCAGCGGAAAUACUGAAUCUAGUGAUUAUAGUUUGAAAAGCCCAUAACUCCAAAACUACUUCAACUAGAAAGCUGAAAUUUUAGAUAUACUAUUUCUGAAUUUCAUUGAGUCAGCACACCAAGUUUGGUAAAAACUUGAGCAGGCAUAAAGAAAUAAUCCCCCACUCCCCCAUCUAGAAUUUUGUAUGAUUUAGGUCGAAAUUGGUGAUUGAUUUCUUAAGUUGGAGGUGAUGUUUUUUUUCAAAUAAAGCAAAAUAAAUGUUAGUUUCCUGACUUUUAUGAAAUUACUCAUCAAUUUACAGUAUAGGGUUAUUAGGUUGUGAAAAUGUCAAUCCUAAUGUAUGUAUGUGUAUAUAUAUAUAUAUAUAUAUAUCGUUUUUAGAAAAAACAUAAAUCCAGAGAAGUUCACUCUAAGAAGUAAAGCAGUCUAUAUUUUUUCCUGGUGAAGGCCAGUUCAUGGUUUACCUUGGGUUUUCUGUUCAUAAUGGGUUUAACUUUAUGGCGUAUUGUCAGACCUGAAGACCUGUUUGCCUACGACCUCUUUAAAAUAUGGAGGGGAAAUGUCUUCACUCUGUCAGAAAUUUGCAAAUGACAUGCUGUACUGCUUGGCACUUGUAUUGGGAGCUCUGAUGCAAACAUUUCAGGGUGUUUUGGUAUCAAUUUGAGGAUGUGUACUGAGAGUGAUAAAAAUCAAACAUUCAUUCAGUAUGUUGGUCUUUGGGAUGAUCACUAGUGAUGGUGACUUUAUGCCUCCCUUCAUCUUCCCACAGCCUAAAUAUGAUAGCCUUCAUCAAAUGCCUGGAGUUAGUCAGGAGGGUGGCUGCUGGAAGAUUCUAUGUCUGGCAACAGGACUUUGCACCAUGCUACACAAGCAAGAGAACCCAGUCAUGGCUGUCAGACAAUUUCUGCAACUACAUCACCCCUAACAUCUGGCCACAUGUGUAUUGUUUAUAUAUAUAUACACACACACACACUCACAUGCACUUGCAUAUAUACAUGUAUAUAUGUAUGUGAGCUCAUAUAUAUAUAUAUUUCAUGUAUGCUUAUUUGCUACACUUUUUUUGGCUCUCCAUUUUGUUUUUGUUCCCUUUAGUCUUUUUGGGUGAAGACCAUAGGCUCUAAAUGUCAAAGACUGUUCCUCUCUUUGCAAGCAUCAAACUAAUACACCUGAUUGUUGUUCCCUCACCUGUCUUCAUCUUUUGUUUUCUGUCAAUUUGAACAGUAAAUACAUUUAUAUAUAUAUAUAUAUAUAUAUAUAUAUAUAUAUAUAUAUACCUGUUUGUUUAUGUAUUUAUAUAUGUGCGUAUAUGUAUGUAUGUGUAUAUAUAUAUAUUAUCAUCAUCAUUUAAUGUCUGCUUUCCAUGCUGGUAUGGGUUAGCCGGUUUGACUGAAAACUGGUAAGCCUGAGAGCUGCACCAGGUUCCAGUCUGAUUUGGUGUGGUUUCUUUGGGUGGAUGCCCUUCAUAAUGUGAACCAUUCUGAGAGUGUAAUGGGUGCUAUUUACGUUCCACUGGUACAAGUGCCAUUUACAUGACACCAGCAAUGGCCACAAUUGCAAUUAUGAUUUAGCUAUAUGUAUGUAUAUUUAUAUCUAUAAAUAUAUAUGUAUGUCUAUGUAUUUAUGUAUAUAUUUGGAUAUAUGUGUAUGUAUGCAUAUAUCUGUAUUAUAUGUGUGUGUACUUACAUGCAUACAUAUAUAUAUAUAUAUAUAUAUAUAUAUAUAUAUAUAUAUAUAUAUGCAGUACUCCAACAUGGCCACAGCCUUAGGGCUGAAUCAUCUAAAAGAAUACACUCACACACAAACACACACACACAUAUAUGUAUGUACAUACAUAAAUUUGUAGGUAAUUAUGCUGAUAAACAAGUUAGAUACAUGAAAUGUAUUAAAUGUAAUAGUUUGGUUAUGAAAUACAAAAUAUGUCUAUAUGUGUACAUGGAAACGAGAGAAAGUAAAAGGUUGAAACUUUGAGAUCAUGAAUUUUUAGGUGUAUAGGUCCAACUUACAAAGUACAAAUGACAGAGAAAAUUAAAGAGGUGGAAGAAAGGUAUUAUAAGUCCAACAGCUGUUUCUGGGGACUCGGAGAUCCAUAAUAAUAUUAGUAGAUGUAAUAUUGAGAUCUGAAAUAUAAGACUUUCUCUACCCUUCAUGACAGAGAUAUGUCUUAUCCAAUGUUAAAUGCAUCCAGAUUUGAUCAAUAAGUGUCUGGAUUGUUGCCAUAGUAACUGCUUCUCAAAGAUUGACCUUGGACUCUGCUGUGCAUGCACACUAAGUUUUAAUGAUCUAACCCACUUACGCUGUUUACAGCAGUUCUUGGAAGGAAGUUGUGUAGCAUGUGAUUGUCGCAUUGACCAUGACAUAGAAAGUUGUCAUGGCAAUACCUGCUCAGAGGCCUACGCUAAGUUGCAGAAAGUGUACGGAGAGGAGUGUAUGAGUGGUUCAGACGUUUCUAAGAUGGCUGCAAAAAUGUCAAUAUUGACGAACGUUCUUGGAGACCCCAACCAGCAGAACUGAGAAAAACAUUGCAGUUGUGUGUACAGCUGUGAGGGGAAACCAUUGAAUCAUCAUCCGUGAGCUAUCAGAGGAUGUGUAGAUUAGUAAAUGUUUCGGUUCAGUUCAUUAUCACUGAAGAUUUGGGCAUGAGAUGCAUAUCUGCCAAGUUUGUGCCAAAUCUGCUUUCAGCUGGUGAAAAAAAACAAAAAACACUCAGGUUUCAGUUGCACAAGAUCUCCUUGGUUGUGUUGAGAACUAUGAAAAAUGUUUGACAAUUUUGUGUAGGCUUCUGAGCAGGUAUCGUCAAGCAGAUUGGUGCAGAUUCUCUGCUCAACUCUGUCAUGGCCAAUGUGAUGAUCUCAUGUUAUACACCUUUCUUCAAAGCACUGCUGUAAACAGUGGAAGUGAGUUAGAAAAUUAAAACCUGAUGCACAUACACAGCAGAGUUCAUGGUCAAUCUGUGCCAAGUGGCUUCACUCUGCACACUUUAGCUUUGUUACUAUGGCAGCAGUCCAGAUACUUAUUGAUCAGAUCAUGUACAACUGCAUAUUGUAGUGAACUACAUCUAUGAAUAUUAUUAUGGAUCUCAAAGACCCCAGAAACUGCUGUUGGACUUGCAACAGCUUUUUUCAACCCCUUUGAUUUUUUAUGUUGUUUGUAUUCUAUGUAAGUUGGACCUUUUAAUAUAAAUAUCUAUAUUUGAAAGUCUCCACCUUUAGCCUUCUCUCGUUUUGCAUCUAUACAUAUAGUCAUAUUUUGUAUUUCAUACCCAAACUAUUAUAUUUAAUAUAUUUAAUGUAUUUAGUUUGUUUAUCCGCAUAAUUGCUUCUAUACCUGCUGAACUUGAUUCCUCUUAUAACCAUUCUUUACCUUGUGCACUCGAACCCCUGUAAAGACAUCGGACUCUAAGUUUGAAUCCUUUGAGCACUACUAUGUACCUUCUAUACGGAGAAUGUAUGGAUCUCAUCUGUGGGCUACACACACACACAUAAAUGUAUAUAUAUGCAUGUUGUAUUAUACUUGUUCAAUAAAAAUCAUUUUCUUUGAAAACAGGUAAGUGUUAUGAAUAGGAAUAUUAAGGGACUGUAAAUGCCCUACUUACAUGUUACUAAUAAUGCUUUCCUAUAUGUAGAGUUACCCAUAUAUUUUGGGAAGAGGAUAUUUGUCUUCGUCUUUGAUAUUUUGGAACUUGGUUUUAUAUUUCAAAUACAUGAAGAGUUUAUGAUACCUUUGAUACCAGUUUUGGUUUGCUAACUGAACUUAAUUAUUUCUUGGGUAACAAUUCUCAUUGCUUUGAUAUAUCAGAAUAGCUGCUCUACUUCACAAUAGGUCGGCUUUGAUUGAAUUGAGUUGAGAUGAUUACAUUUGUUCCAGCCUAGCCCUUGUCUUUUGUUCAGGCAUGAUAUAUAAUCUUAUACUACAAUAACUGAUGCAUCCUUCCCUUCUAAGACUAUAAGGUCUAGUUUUAGAGAGAUUUAGCUGUAGCCUCUUGAAUUUUGAGUAACUCUGUGGAGGUUCCUAUUAUUCAGCAAAGCAUUAACCUGACUCUCUGUUAGUUAUGUAACUCUAAGAAAUACCACAUUAAUAUGCUAUAUGUUCAAUACCACUUGUAUUGUUGUUUUGUUGUGCAUCAGUGCGAUAGAUUGAAAUACUUUGCUGCUGAUCAUUUGUGUGUGUAUGUUUGUAUACUUAUUUACAUAUGCACAAACAACUGUUAUAUGACACCAGUAUUGAUAAAAAGUAAAUUGUCCCGUUCAUUGGUUGCCAUUGCUUCAUACGGGUCGUAUAAUUUGACAUUUUUCAGCAUUUCUCUUUAAAUUGUGGUUGGAAAUGGGCAGCUAAACUAGAUAUUCCUGUUUGUAUGUUUGGUUCUUUAUUGUGUUUGUGCUGUUUUUAAGUGCAUACGUUUAAUUUUGUGUUCUGGAAUUAGAGUAAAACUGUCCCUGCUCCCCACCCCCAGAGAUAAGCAGAAAAAAAAUGUGGAAAAAGAACUCCAGUAUUUGAAUGAAAUUCUGUGAAAUAUAUUGAAAGUCAGCUUAUGUUGAGUGGUUGGUCUCAUGAUACUUGCUACACUCUUCUUUGUUUUGUUGUGUUAUAUACUUACAUAUGAACAUAUAUAUAGGUUAAUGUUUGUUUUUAUAUUUAGUCGUAAUAUAUAAAAAAUUUUACAUUAGUCUGAGAGGGUUACUCUAUAUUUUUGUAGUGUACAAGUUUGUUCUUAUACAAGAAUAUUGUUGACAAUGAUUUUGAAGUUUUAGCCAUAUGACAAUGGUUCAAAUGGUCAAAACUUCAAAGUUACUUUUAACAGAGUCCGCAAAAAAAAAAAAUGUAUACACACUUCAGGAAAGGAAAAAUCUGUAUAGAUAUUUAACUUGUGUAAGUACCCCUAUCAUAUUGUGAUAGUGAAUUAAAAUAUUUAUACAGAUUUUUCUUUUCCUGAAGUGUGUACUGAAAAUCCUCGAGUAUAAUCCGCAUUUUUUCCCCAAAAUUUAAAGGUCAAAAUCCCUAGUGCUUACUAUAUACGAGGUUAAAAAUGAAAAUUAUUUUCUAAGCAAUGUCCAAAUCUCUAUUUGCUGUCCGGCAAUGUUUAUUCAGACGCAUUUUGUGAUGUUGGGCGUGAAAAUACCUUAAGCUAAGCCUGAAAGCAAUGAAGUCAUAAAAGAAUCAUCCAUAACUUGCUGUAAUCAAAAUUUAUUAAACGUUAUUACUGUUAUUUCUCUAUUUUCUGCAAACAAAAUGCACAUAAAAGCUACACAUUUGCAUUAUGUUAUACAUACAAUAAUAAUAAAGGACGUUACUGUAUACAUUUUUACAAACCAAGGACUUUAUAUAGGCCUCCUUGACUCAAGUUGGAGAAGGGGUGCGUAUUAUACACAAAGUUUAGGUUUUUCAGAGGUACAGCCCCCUAAAAAUCCUCUGUAUAUUAUACUCAAGGGCAGACUAUACUCAAGGAUUUACAGUAUACUUUUUUUUUACAGACUUUGUGUGUGUGUCUGUGUAUAUAAUGUACAUAUAUACUUAAAUACUGAGAGAAGAGUGCAUAUAAUCCAAGAGUGUAUAUGUGUGUGUAUAUUCUUGUGUGUCCCCAUGCAUUUGUAUGUCCUCUUGCUUUGACAUGUAAUACUUGUAAAUAAGCAUCAUGAUCAUUGAAGGUAUUGUUUGUUUUCAAUCUUCUAUGAAGCCUGUCUACUCAAGGGGAAAUAUUACCUUGCUUGGAAAUGAGGGGUUGGCAAUAGGAAGGGCACACAGCCAUAGAAAAUCUGUCUUACCCAUACAAGCAUAGAAAAGUGGACCUUGAAAUAAAAAUAAUCUACCUAUGUGUUUAUUUAUAUAUAUUUCUGUGUAUGUGUGUACAUAAUUUAUGUACAUGUGUGUAAUUCUUCACAUAUGCAUGUAAAGCGGCAUGCUGUCAGAAACAUUUAUCCAUGUUCAGAAUUGUUGAUGUGUGAAAUAAACAACCCUCACCUGUUGUUAGCCGUCAGGACACUGCAUCCUUCAAAAAUUCAAUGCUUCCCAAAAUUCGAUAACAUUACUCCUGACAUGCUUACACAUUAUUUCCUCUUCGUGGCUCUUUUACUGUUUACUUAUCUUUCUUUUUUGUUGUACUGUGCCUGAAUUUUUGACUCUUGUUGCUGUUUUUCUUUAUUUGACUUAUUACUGCUUUUUGUCCUUCAUUCCUAUUCUUUUUUCCAACUGAUUGUUGUGUACCUGAUUACUGCAUACCACGAGCUCAUUAUUAUGAAGGUGGUGAGCUGGCAGACUCGUUAGUGCGCUAUUUCACCUGUCACUAUGUCCUGAGUUCAAAUUCCACCAAGGUUGACUUUGCCUUUCAGCCUUCUGGGGUUAGUAAAAUAAGUACCAGUUGAACACUGAAAUCGAUGUAAUUGACUCAUCCCCCUUACCCAAAAUUGCUGCCCUUGUGACAAAAUUUGAAACUAUUAUUAUUAUUGUCAGAAGGUGCAGGCAUAACUGUGUAGUUAAAAAAUGUGCUUUCCAACCACAUGGAUGUAGGUUCAGCCCUAUUGUACAUCACCUUGGGAAAGUGUCUUCCACUAUAGUCCUGGGUUGACCAAGGCAGAUUUGGUUGAUGGAAACUGAAAGAAGCCCAUCUUGUGUGUGUUUGUGUCUCUUUGUCUUAAUGUGUGAUAGUUGUGACUAUUGCUGUCAUAAUGUGGUAUCAUCUGUUUCCAUUGUUCUGUGCAAACAUGUCUGGUGAAAGGGAAAUAUUACCUUACAUGAAAGCAGACAAGGUUUUUGGUGACAGGAAGGGCAUGCAGCAGUAGAAAACCUACUUCAGUGAAUUCCAUCUGACCCAUGUAAAUAUAAAAAAGUGUACUCUGAUAAUGAUGUGUGUAUGUGAUCCUUUCAACAUUCACUUUUCUAUGUUUGCAAGGAUAAGAUGGAUUUCAUUGAGGCAGAAUUUUUGCAGGUAGACACCCUUUCUGUUGCCAAGCCCCACUUAUUUCCAAGUAAGAUAAUAUUCCUCAUAAUCAAGCACUUUUUCAUGGAACAUUGGAAAUGAACAACAUCGCUUGUAAGACACUGAUGAUUGUUUACAACAAUUGUGUAUUGUCAAGACUAGGGAACACACACAUUUGUAUGUGUAUAUCUACCUAUACAUACAUACAUACAUACAUAUAUAUAUAUAUAUAUAUAUAUAUAUAUAGUAGAAAUUAUAUGUACAAGUAGAUGUACUUGAUAUAAUAAAGUAUUUCCUGAGGUUCUGUUAGAAUGAGUAUCUAUUGUGGGCUCCAAACAACCAUAAUAGUGCAACAUGUAGAAACUUCGAUAUAAACUGUGUUUAUCCUUAUUUCUCUUAUAUAUCUGUAUAUAUAUAUAUAUGUAUAUAUAUAUAUAUAUGUGUGUGUGUGCUUGUACCAUGUAAAAAGCACUAAGUCUACUCUGCUGAGUGGUUGGUGUUAGGAAGGGCAUCCAGCUGUAAAAAUUCUGCCAAAAUAGUUAUGGAAGUCUGGUGCAGGCUUCUACUUGGCUGGUUCCUGUCAAACUAUCCCACCCAUACCAGCAUGGAAGGCCGACUUUAAGCAAUGAUGAUGAUGAUGUGAUGUUUUCUAUUGUUUCAGUUUCUGUCUAUCAAAUCCACUUACAAGGUGUUGGUCUUCUCAGAACUAUUGUAGAGGACAGACACUUGCCCAAGGUACCUCACAGGGGGACCAAACCAGAAACUUUUCAGCCAUACCUAUCAUAGUGAUGCUAAACCUAUCAUAUAUAGGAUCAUGUACAUGUAUAUAUAUGCAUUACUGAUGUAAAUUGUAACCAUAACUCUCAACUUUCCAUUUCAUAUUUAUUCCAAUAGGAUUUGGCGUCAAGAAAUGUUCACCUAUUCUUACUCAUAUAUUAAACCUUUAAUGGUCACAUUUUUUGAUGAAGUAAAAUGCUCAUGUGCUUGAUUCACUUUUGAAAAUAAUCAAGAAUUUAAAGCAAUUUAAGAAAAUAUCCAAUUUUUUUAUGAAUGUUCACGUUAAUCCUUUUCAUAUCAACCCACCCAAAACUGCCUCUGGUUCUUUGAUACAAACUUUGUUUUAAACUGAUCAAAAUUAAAACCUCUGUAAUAGUGAUGAACUUAUUUUAACAAAUUCUUUGUCAUUUUCAAAAUGAUUUGAAACAAAAGCAAACAGAAAUAAAGUAACAAAUGGGUUAAGCUAACGUUUGGAAAGGUGUUUCUCAACUGGGGUCCGACUCUUGGUGGUCUCGUAAGACUUUUUAAAAAUUUGUGCAAUAAACUGGUUAUACUUCUGUAAUACUCAAAAUAUUUUAAACAUUGAAAUGGCUAUGUGAGUCCAACCAAGCAAAAUAGGAGUCAAAAGGGGUCCAUAGGUAAAGACAAUGUUGAGAACCACUGGCUUAGAACUGAAUCUUAAUGGAAACAUUUUUGCUUGUAUGUUAUUAGAUCAGGUUUUUCAUUUUAUGUGAAGUGUAAAGCGGACAAUUUUUGCAGUAUACAACUAGAUGCAGUCUCGGAUUGAUUUGUAUCAAAGGAGUUAAAUAAUCAAAAGUCUAUCUACAUACACUGCCUAUGUGUAUAGGUGGUGUAUACACACAUAUAUUUUUGUUUAGCUAAUGUUAUCUAUCUCAGUUGCUAACAUGAUGAGAUGGUAGUAGAAGUGAGAAUGAGAAACUUUGUUAGUUACCAAAAAUUUUCAGUGAAAAAUGUCAAACUGAACCAAUAUCCAAUUUAUUAUCAUCUAAUCAAUAUUAAGGUGCAUUCUCUGUUUUGACAGUUGGUCUCACCACCACUUUUUCUUACACUUGGUUCCCCCUCGCCCGCUUUCCUUUCCUUCCAUUUACAUUUUAAUUUCUUCAAUUUCUUCUGCCUUUUUUCCUUCUUUUUCGUUUUCUGUUUUCAUUUCAUUCCCAUUUCUUCUCUUUACGCUUUCCUUUAUUUCUUUCAUUCCUUCUUUCUUCAGUUCUUUCUGUUUUCAUUUUACUUUCUUUGUCUAUUUCUCUUUUGCUCCUCCUUCACUUUCCUAAAACAUUGUCUAGUGUUCUUGACCUUUCUAAAACAUAGUUAAUGAAACGAAACUAGUAUCAAGAACAGGAGGUCAUGGAGGGAGCAACUUCAUAGACAAGAUAAAUAAUUAAGAAAAAUACCUGACAAGAACAAUAAAAAUGCAAUAUAUUUGUGUAACUUUCUAAUGUCAAUUGAGAAAUAACCUGCUGUAUGUAUUAAUACUUUUGUGUGAAAUUUUGGUAAAGUGGAUAAUGAUACCAAUCGAUCGACUUAUUGAUUUAUUUCAAAUUUGACCGGUUGUCGAAUGUUCAGGUUGUGUCCCUGUCUUCAUCAUCACUGUAUAUUAUGUAGAUUUAGUGGAAGAAUGUUCUACAAAACAGUAUAUGUUGUUUCUUUAGAUGAUGAAUUAGUGAAGUUGAAUAUGAGAGAGAGAAAAAAGAUGGAAGAUGUCUUAAACAUGUACAUUAACACAUCUACCUAUCUAGUAAAUUCAGUGUAUUUUUAUUAUCCCAUCCUUUCCCCCGAACUUAUACAGACAGAUAGAUAAAUAUUUUAUUAGAUUUUUUUUUUCUCAAAGAUAUUCUACUUUUAGCUGGGAGUUUAGCUUCAUUUACUGUCAGUUUGAUAAUGGAGGAGGAAAUUAGAAACUUAGUUGGUUAUUUUGAUACCAGCCCACCCAGGAUCAGCUCUGGUUGUGAGAUAGGAAAAUAUCUUGUUUUGAAUUGUUUAUAUUUAAAUAGAAAACAAAAUUAUAAUUUCAUGGUAGAUACCUUCUGUUAAGAUUUGCUUAAUAUCGACAAAAUUGCUGUAAAUUGUUAUUUUUGGAAUUUAGUUGGAAUGCUUACACAGAAAAUUUCAUUACAAAAUCUUGUCAGAAGAAGGUUAAAUUUCGGUGGAAAAUGUUUUCAAUUUCAAACUUUUAUAUUAUUCAGUUUUAUCAUUGUGACAAUGUAUUCCAUGAGAAUUAAGAUGUUUGAUAUAAAAUGCUGUCUGAUGUUGUUGUAUAACUAUAUAAUUGAUUGUAAUUUUAAAAAAUACAAAAAGCAGAACAAACACACCAAACAGUCCCAAAACGCUAGUUAAAAGUGAAUUGUAAAUGAGUUGAAAUUCACACACAAACACACACAUUUUUGAAGACAGGUAUGCAAACAAAUGUUUUUUUCUAUUUUUUUUCUUUGUAUUCUGGUUACUAAAAAAAUAUACUACAUAAAGAUAAGCAUAUUUUAUUUAAACUGUGGUAUUAUUAAUAAAAUACUUCAUUUGUAUCUCAUUCAUUAUGCUAUUCUCCCCACUCUUCCAAUCAGCUCUCUAUCUGUUUCCUUUUGCCAUUUUAAGUGAUUUUUGAAUUGUUGAUGACAAUUCUCUAUUAUGGGAAAUUCUUUGAUUUGCACUUUCAUUUUAUAUCUGGCAACCUUUUGAAUUAGAAAAGUGAGAAAAAUGUGGGGAAAAAAUGUAAUAGAAAUCUUUUAGGGGUUUUAAAAGGUAAAUUAUUUUUAGCUAUAGCCUAUUUUCAUUUCAAUUUCAAACUUACAAUAAAACUUUGUAUAUGUUUCAUUAAAAACAUUGUAAUAAAAGAACACCCUUUCCUACACUGACUAUUUGAAUGGAAUAGGGAAGCUUCCUGUAUGGUUAGGUAUACAACCACACACAGCAAACAUAAGGUAUAACUGUUAAUAAGGUUAUUUCUAUGUAUGUAUCUUUAAGGGAUUUCAGUGUGUGUGGUUAUCUUUUACUUGUUUCAGUGAUUAGCCUGUGGCGAUGCUGGGGCACUGCCUUGAAGAACCUUUAGUCAAAUGAAUCAACCCUAGUACGUUUUUUUUUAAAGCUUGGUACUUAUUCUAUUGAUCGCUUUUGCUAAACUGCUAAGUUACAAAGACAUAAACACAUGGUGAUGUGGGACAGAUGCGCACGCGCGCGCGCACACACACACAUGACAAGCUUUUUUCAAUUUCCAUCUACCAAAUCUCCCCCACAUAGUUUUGGUCAGCCCAAAUCUAUAGUAGAAGACACUUGCCCAAGGUACCACACAGUGGGACUGAACCCUGAACCGUGUGGUUGGGAAGCAAGCUUCUUACCACACAGCUGCACCUGUUCCUUAUGUGUAUGCAUGCACAUAAUAUACAUAGUCUGUACAAGAUGUGUCAGAAAAGAAAAGCUGAAAUUUAAAAAAAAAUACUUAGCAUAAGAGGAAUCAAAGGUAGUAUGCAAGAGAGAAGACUACACUGAUAUGGACAUGUAAUAGAGGAUGCUAGCUGGGUAAGGACACACCAAACAGGUGGAAGGAAACUGUGGAAGAUAAAAACUGAGGAAAAAGUAAUGAAAGCUGACGUCAGGAGACAAAACUUCAUGAAGGUGAUGUCAGUGAACUGUUUACGAGUGGUGAGAUGCUAUGAUGAAGCAGACUCAUACAACCCAUGUAAGCAUGAAGAUACAGAAGUAAAAAGAACUUUAAAAAUUAUCACACACACACCUGUUUAUAACUACUGACAUUCAUCAUUAUUUACAAAGCAAUAUUAAAUUCUGUAGCUAAGUGAUUGUAUGCAAGUGUAUGUGUGCAAUGUGUUUAAAUUAGCUGCUUUUUACAUUUAUAUAUAUAUUUCUUUUAUUAUUUUUUAUGUCUGACAAGUAAUCUUUACUAAAAACACUCCCCAAUAUACCAGUCAUUAUUUCUUUUUUGAUUAAAGAAUGUAAUUAUUAUUUAUCAUGUAAUGCAGCUCUUAUAUAUAUGUGUGUAAAAGUCUAUAAUUUGGUAAUACUAAUAAUAAUCCUUUUUACUAUAGGCACAAGACCUAUAAUUUUGGUGGGAGAGGACUAGUCACUUACAUUGACCUAGUAAUAAUAAUAAUAAUGAUGAUGAUGAUAACAAUAAUAGUAAUAAUAAAAAUAAUAAUAAUUUCAGACAUUUGUAGAAGGUAACAAAUUAAACGUUGGAGUGAAUUCACUUGACAUACACACACACACAUAUAUAUAUAUAUAUAUAUAUAUAUAUAGUCUUCCAUUUCACACUGUACUGGGUUGUCCUUGGUGAGUUCGACUAGUAUAUAAAUUUUUCUGAGAAACUCUUUCUUGCCCCACAUUCAAUCUUCAUUUUUGGAGAAAGGGACUUUGUGAGUGGUCUCCUGUAGUUGCUCUCAUGGCACAAUAUAGCAAAUUCACUGAGAGAGUGAGAGAAAGAGAGAUCAACCUCUUUACUAUUGACUUUGAAGGGAUGGAAGGCAAAUUUGACCAUGCCAGGAUUUGAACUCAGUGGGUAGAGCCAGAACCAAAACUUUCAGGCAUUCUACCCGACACUGGAACAACUCACCUACCAAUUUGCUUAAAUAUACAAAAAAAAAACAAACAAACACACACACACACACACAGGGUGGGCCAAAAGUCAAGCACAAAAUAAGUUCAGUACGCUCUGGAAUUGUCAAAAACAUGCUUCAAUUUUUCUAAAAUUGAAUAAAAUAAAUAAAAUUAUGAGGAAUACACACAUACUUGUACUUGAUGAACAAACUGAAUAAUAAUAAUAACAAUAAUAAUUCUUUUUACUAUUGGCACAAGGCCUGAUAUUCUGGGGGAGGGUUAAGUUGAUUACAUCAACCUUAGUGCUAUACUGGUACUUAUUUCAUUGAACCUGAAAGGAUGAAAGGUAAAGUUGUCCAGAAUUUGAACUCAGUGUGUAGUGAUGGGUGAAAUACCACUAAGCUUUUUGCCCAGCAUGCUAACAAUUCUGCCAUCCUGCUGUCAUGAUGAUGAUGAUAAUGUAAUAUAAAUUAAAUGUCAAAUGCUUUGAUUCAUGGCUUUUGGCCCACCCUCUGUGUAUGUAUGUAAAUGUAUAUAUAUAUAUAUAUAUAUAUAUAUAUGUAAAAGUAAAAAAAAUAUACAAACUGGGACAAGAACGUGAACUUCGAAAGUCAAGAACCGGAUCAUCUUCGCAAUUUCGGCUGAUUAAUCUUGAUUAUCUAUAUAUAUAUAUAUAUAUAUAUAUAUAGAUAUAUGCAACAGAUUUUCUCAUUUUGAAUUGCAUCUAACGCUCAAAAUUUGAAAAGCCUUAGUGAAAUCAGUUAUUAUGUUAGAGGGCAAAAAUCUUAUUUUGUGUAAUAUUGUAUAAUACUUUUGCUAUGAUAAUUCUAAUAUAUUCUUUAGCCUAGUAAAACAAAUCUGUGUUUUCUUCAUCUUAUUUCUUUGUAUAUAUAUAUAAAAUUUGCCUAUAUACUUGAGAGUGAGUGAGAGGUUUGGUGAAAGAACCCCCCACAAAGGACUCUCUCUCUCUCUCUCUCUCUCUAUAUAUAUAUAUAUAUAUAUAUAUAUAUACACAUACAUAUAUAUACACAUACAUACAUAUAUAUAUAUAUACACAUACAUACAUACAUACAUACAAACACACACACACAUAUCAGUUAUUUAUUGAAUAUUUAUUCCUUGUGAGAACAAAAAGCAAAAUCAACCCUGAUACGAUUUGAAACCAAAUCAUAAAAAGAUAUAACUCAAUAUGGCAAAAUAUUUAAUACAUAUGAUUAAGAAUAAAAUACUUGCUUUUCUGCCAGAGAAAUUCCUACCCUGCUUACCUGCGAAUCAAAAUUACAUAUAAAAUCUGAUGGUAUUGUACAAAAUUUAUUUCUAACCAAAGAAAUGGAGGAGGAGUAAGCUUAUGAAACUGGAAGGAAAAUUUACUAUUUUGUCUCCCCCUCCCCAUUGUUGAUCUCAAUUUUCUGAAUUUUUUGACUACUACUACUACUACUCACUUAAAAAAAAAAAAUUGUAAUUUUAGUAUCUGACUUCAUGGUUUAUUCUAUUUUAUUUAUUUUCUUUAAAAGAAAUGGAUUUGAAGAAAGAAUAUUUUAAUUUUUUUGUUUGAAAUGGGUAGGAGAAUGGGAGAAUGCUGUGUUUUUAAAAAUAAUUGCAAUGUCGAAGAGAAAUAACAAUAAUAUUUAUAAUAAUGGUAAUAAUUAGUUAGUGAAGUGUUGAAUAAUAAUCACAGUGAUUUUUAAAGCUACUGCUGAGAUAAUUUCAAUAAAUUUAUGUCGCUAUUCAAACUGCUGGCUUGAGAGAGAGGUGAUGCUGGUGCAGACAAGAGAGAAGUGAAUCUUGUAUUUCAGGGUAUUUUAUUUGAGAGCUUGUAUUAUUUCGCAAGUUCAAAUUCUGCGUAGGUUGACUUCGUUUUUUUUUUUUUUUUAUUAUUGAUAUAGGAUUAAUUAUAAAGAUAACUAUUACUUUCGAAAGAUUGAAUUAAAUGACUAUGAUUUUUCUAAAGUAGAAACAAUAUUAUUAUUAUUAUUGUUGUUAUUAUUAAGGUAGUGAGCUGGCAGCAUCGUUAGCACAUUGAAUGAAAUGCUUAGCAACAUUUCUCCCAGCUCUUUAUAUUCUGAGUUCAAAUUCCACUGAAGUUACCUUGCUUUUCAUCAUUUCACAGUUGAUAGUAUACGUACAAGUUGAGCAAUGGGAUUGAUGUAAUCAACUAACCCCCUUCCCUCAAAAUCUCUGGCUUUGAGCCUAUAAUAGAAAGUAUUAUUAUUAUUUUUAAGGUGAUAAGUGGGUAGAAACAUUAGUAUUCUGAAGAGAAUGCUUUGUGGAAUAUUUUCUGGCUUAAUGUUCUGUGUUCAAAUGCUACCAGUUGAGCACCAGGCUUGAUGUUAACAACUAACCUCCCCUCUCACACCACCACCACCACUAAAAAAAAAAAUUGCUAGCCUUGUGUCAAAAUUAGAAACCAUGAUUAUUAUAAUUAUCUUUAUUAUUUGUCUUUUCAUACUUACAUGGUCAGUAGAACAAGUAUUGGGAAGGCAGGGAAGCAUCAAGUUUGACUUUACUCUUUCCCACUAAAAUUUGUCAUUAUUAUAUAUCCCCAGGUCAGCACUGAUAGAGCAGAGCUAUGAUCAAAGACAUCCCUACCAUGACCUUUACAGUUUCAUUUCAAAUAUUGUAUCUCCCUUUAUUUUUGCUAAGAAUAUGAUAGUGUUUUUUUUUUUUGCAUGCGUCUGUUUUUUUUUUAUAGAAAGAUUUGACUGCUAUUUCUAGCACUUUGUGUGACCACAUAGAUGCCAUUUACUAGCUAAAAACAAGAUUCUCGUUUUUGGUAUCAGUUGGAUGGAUCUGCAAUAUAACAGCUUCCAAUGCAUUGAAAUUCUGCGUCAUCACUCUGGCAUGGCCUACCUCUUUACAAAAGCUGGUGUUGUGCUGAGUUGAAGCAAAAUCAUUAUUCAAGAUGGUUGCCUACUAGACCUGAUGUCAUGAUUAUUAGCUCCCACACUUCCUAGUAUAUGUAAUAUAUAUAAAGCCAAGUUUCAACUGGCUAGCUAGGUAGGUAGCUAAAACUGACUAACCGAUCAAAAUUUCUCUGCUAAUAUGGCCAUUAGCUAUGUUUUAUAUAGAUUAAUUUUAGUUGUAUUGAUUUUCAUUUUUUUCCUUAUUUUGUUCAUAAAAACCUCAAAUUAUGUAUUAGACCUCAUUUGACUAACAAGUCUGGCUUUGGAUAAACAAAUCCCUGCUGCAGAUUUUACAAACAUUUUCAGACAGAAAAGUAUCUGAGAUUGAAAUUAAGACCUGUUUAUGAAGUGCUUAUUUUAAGUGGGAUUGUAGAACACUACUUUCCAAACCAAUUGAUCUUCCAUCAACCUCUCUGUCUUCAACACUUACAUUAAGAACCUUAAAGUUGCUUUUGAUGGCAACCCUAAAACGUUUCUUUGGUUUAUGACUUGGAUGUUUACUAUGUUGCAACUCGCUGUAAAACAACUGCUUAGGUAACCUGUCAUCCUGCAUUCUAGUCAUCCCAGUUCAACACAUAUGAUUGUGUAUGAGGAACAUUUCAGUACUGUGUGUGUGUGUGUGUGUACAGAUGCAGACGUGGUUGUGUGAUAAGAAGUUAGCUUUCCAAAUUCAUGGUUCUGGGUUUAGUCCUAUAGUAUGGCACCUUGGACAAGUGUCUUCUAUAGCCCCUGGCUGAACCAAAGCCUUGACAUGAUUUGUUAGAUGCAAACUGAAAGAAACUCAUGUGUAUGUGUGUGCAUAUUUGUGUGUUUGUGUUUGUCCCUCCACCAACAGUUGACUACUGGUAUUAGUUUGUUUACAUCCCCAUAAGUUAACGGUUUGGCAUACAAGACUGAUAGAGUAAGUACCAGGCUUAAAAAAAAAUAAGUAAUGGAGUUGCUCUAUUCAACUAAUCCCUGACAAGACAUUGCCUGGGCCUGAAUGCAAUGACUGAAACAAAUAAAAGAUAAAAGAUAUUCAUUAAAGCGACUAUACCUGUGCAGAUUUAUGUACAUUGAAUCUAUGAGGUCAAUACAGUAAUCCCUCGACUAUUUCAAGUGUUACAUUCGAAGACCCCACCGCAAUAGAUGAAAAUCCGCAAAGUAGAAACAGUCCUGUACUGCGUAUUUUCUAAAAUCAUUUUUAUAAUUUGUAUAUAUUUAUUUUACUAUAGAUGUAAAACACCACCACGGAGGAAUCGACGUAAGCUUAAAUAAUAAACUGCGAUAUGGCGAAGGAUUACUGUAUAUUGUUAAUCUAUUCAUUUAAAAUAUAUAAGUAUAUUUAUAGUGGUAGUAUUCUUUAACAAGUUGCAAGUCAGUGACCUCUGUGAUUAUUUAAAGAGAGGGAUGAAAGCUCAAAUACAAGUGUAUCUUUGUUUCAUUUGAGAAUGUAAAUUGGUGCCUUAAGCCCUUUUUAGGCAUAACUGAUUUAUAGGGAUAACAUAAUGUUAAAGAAACUAAUAGUUACCUAUAUUAUUGUUUAAUGACAUUUGUGUGCAAUGGGAAGGAUAUAAUUUUUAUGUUUCAAGACAAACUUACUGCCUGAAAGGAAAUAAGUUUUUUCUUAAAGGACCCUACAUGAAACACCAUUCUUGAAAUUCAUGAAUUUGAAUGAGUUUGUGUACUAUAUGGAGGAGAUGAUAUUGAUGUUUCAUGUCAGGUCCUUUAAGAAAAAGCUUAUUUCCUUUCAGGCAGUAAGUUUGUCUUGAAACAUAAAAAUUAUAUCCUUCCCAUAGUACACAAAUGUCAUUAAACAAUAAUAUAGGUAACUAUUAGUUUCUUUAACUCUUUAGCAUUCACAGUAUUCUGUCAAAUAUAAUGUUUAUAUAAACAAAUUGUUCUAAAUUAAUCAUUGUAGCAUUGCAAUUUCGAUGAUGUGAUUGUUUAUUCUUAGAAUGUCAUUCUGUGGUAGGUUUGUUAGGCCAGAUCAGGACAGUUUGAAUAUAAAAUAGGUAGAAUAUUUGGGCUGGAUAUGGCUGGUUUAAAUGCUAAAGGGUUAAUAUUUUUAUUUAUAGUUUGAGAUUAUAUCAAUAGUAGUCGAAGUUUGAGGGAGAAAGAGGAUGAGGUUCAAAUCUUUGCAUUUUGGUGUGUAAGGAAGCAUUGGUAGUCUCAGCUGUAGGAAGGAUUGGUAGUAGUAGAAGUGAUGGGGGGAAAUUUUCACAUUUUGGUCAGUGUCACUAAUUUUUUCUUCACACGAAACAUACUAUCUGAUGUUUUAUUUUUCAGUCUUGUCCCUCAAUUCAGUCCCUUCUACCACUUAUAUUAUGGCCUUCAAACUUCAAGGGUAUGCCUUGGCACUUGCCACCAGCUAUAUUUCUCUCUUCCUUUACUCAACCAUCUUAUUGAUAUUCUGAUACCUGUCUCUUACGAGUAUGCUUGGCACUUUACCACCAUUUCUAUCCUACUAUCUCCCUCCAUCUCUCUCUCUCCCCCCUCUCUCCCUCUCUCUCUUUCUGCACUUUCCUUAGGUUGGGUAACCAUGUAUCACCUUUGCGGCAGCACACCUGUGUCUGUCUUCAUUCCUGGUCUCUCUCCGGCCAGGUAACCUUGUACCUCCUCUAAAGCAAGACACCUGUUUCUGUCUCUCUGUCUCACUAUAACCUUCCGUCAUCUGACACAAGAUCACCUCCUCCAAUGCCCCCUUUCCUCUCAAAAGAUUUUUGUUUUGCAAGUUACUUGAUGACCCUGUCAGUACAGGUGCCACUUAAAAAGCAUCCAGUUGACACUGUAAUUGGUUGGCAUUUCGAAAGGCAUACAGCUGUAAAAACCUUGCCAAAACUGAGCUUGCCUGUGCUUGUGCCACAUAAAAAGCACUAAGUCCACUUUACUGAGUGGUAGGUGUUAGGAAGGGCAUCUAGCUGUAAAAAUCCUGCCAAAACAGUCACAGAAGCUUGGUGCAGGCUUCUGCCUGGCUGGUUUCUGUCAAACUGUCCCAUCCAUGCCAGCAAGGAAGGCAGACAUUAAAUGAUAAUGAUUAUAUAUAUAAAGUGGUUAUUUAUUUUGUUGAGUCCCAAUAGGAAUAAAAUGCAUAGUCAACCUUGGCUGGUUUUGAAACCAGAGAUAUUAUUCAAUAAUGCAAAAACAUCUUCCCAACACCCAUCCCUCCAUCACUCUUCUCACUAUGGCACUACUUACUCAAGUGCUGUAUUUAUAUGCUCCAUUUCUGUGCUGUCAGAGUGGAAACAAGUGACACUGCUUGCAUGUGACAGUAACACUCGUUUACAACUAUCAUGCAAUGUUGAGAGGGGGAAAGACACACACACAAAAGCUGCUUUCAGUUUCAGUUUCCUUUUACCAAAUCCAUUUGUAGGACUUUGGUCAACCCAUGGAUAUAGUAGAAGAUACAUGCUCAAGGUGUCACACAGUGGGACUGAAUCUAGAAGCAUGUGGUUUGGAAGUAAACUUCUUACUACACAGCCAUGUAUUCUUAUAAAUAAUUAAUUUUGUUUCAUGAAACCAAUCUUUGCCAAUGCAUACACUCACAUAGAAAACAAGAGGAUUGUUUCCUACAAUUCAAACGACAACACUACACCUAUCUCUUUUCUUCAUAAUCAAACAAAAAGUAAAAGUCCUGCAAAAAUUCUUAACUCCUCACCACAAGUGAACUUAUCAAACUCUAUGAACAUUUUUUUCUAUGGUUAGUACUAGAAAGAGGAUUUUAUUGUUUGAAGAACAAACACAUCACACACAAAGUAAAUAAAUAUAUAAAUGAAAGUAAUGUUGAAUUAUCCAUUGCUUUUGUUGUUGUUGGUGGUGAUGAUGAUGAUGAUGGUGAUUGAAAUGGCAACAUUGAAGGUUGUUGGUGAGAGCAUAUAACAACAAUGAUGACAUGUGAGAAAUAAUGUUGCUCUCCUUCUUCUGUUCUUUGAUUUGUUGUUAUAAAAGCUUUAUUGGCUGUUUUUCAAUUGAUUGAUGCUAUAGUUAUGUUUGUCUUUUUGUCUACCAACACAUGAUUCUGAGUCUGUUACAUUAUACACAAGUAGUUUAAAGUUGUUUGUACAUUUGUCUAUCUCGUAAUUUGAAACACUGCUGAUCAAGUAUACCCAUGGACAUGCUAUAUAUUGUCUUUUUCAAUAGUGAAGUUGCUCUUUCUUUUACUUAAAGAGCCACAAAUUUAUCAUGAAUUUUAGAGGAUGAUGGUUACAGUUUUCAUCAGCCAAUUUUAUCUCCAGAGCAAUAUUUAACUUAACUAUAUCUCCAUACUGCAAAAGUUGAAAAAAAAAAAGAAAAAAAUUACAAGCUAUAAGUGAUCAAUAAGAUCAAUAUAUUCCUAAGGCACUAACAAAACAUCUUGGUAAACUAUGUGAAGGUGCUGAGACGUACUUUUUGUGCUUAUCUUUUCAAAAUAUUUGAGUUGAAAUUGCACUUUUAGUGUUGAAGAAUCUUUGACAAUGGGAUAUGCAGUAGUUGGCCAAAUGAAAUAACUAUGAUCCACAGAUCCAAGGCACUGAUUAUCCUAUAUGGGAAAAUUUCUGGCUUGAUCUAGCAAGUGCAGCCAAGUCUUCCUCAGAUAUCACUCUACUAUCUGAACAGAGUAUAACAGAAUAGCUAAUUCCUAGAUUUAAUAAAUUAGCAAAGGUGGUGAUAGGUAUGAGGUAUGACUGGAAUGUUGAUGAGGUGAUAAUGCUAGUUAUAGAAAACAAUAAUUGUAUAUAGAACAAAAGUGGCUAUGAGGUUAAGAAGUUUGCUUUGGAACCAUGUGCUUCUGAGUUAAAUCCAACUAUGUUGCAACUUGGCCAAGUUUUUUCUCCAUCCAUCCAUCUACACAAUGGGACUGAACCUGUAAACUUGAGAUUGGGAAGCUAACUUCUUAACCACACAGCCACAUGUGUGCUUUAGUCCUUUAGCAUUCAGAUUUCUCUGUCAGAUGUAUAGCUUAUUUAUUUACUUUGUUUUGAAUUAAUCAUGUAUUAGCUCAUAACUUAGAGAUUUCAAUGAUAUGAUUGUAUAUUGUAACAUAGCAGUUUGGCAGAAGAGAUUGAUAGGAAAAAAAAAAAGUACUGGUGUUGAUUCAUUUCACUAAAAAAUUCUCUGAGGCAGUGCCAUAGCAUUGCCGCAGUCUAAGGACUGAAACAAGUAAAAAUAUAAUAAUUAAAAAAAAAGGAUAUAGUUGACUCAGGAAUAGAUAAAACUUGAGAUGCUAGGCUAUUUACUUUAGAAUAGCUAUUGUGUUGUACAGUAUCUGGUUAUGGUUUGCAAAUAAUAAUGAAUAAUAAAUAAAAUGGAAUAACUACCACUCCCAUCUUAUGGUUGGGUGGCUAACUGUGAAAGAAACUGAAAAUUUGUCAAAAGACCUUUCUAACUGUUGUGAUUUGUAUAAGUGACUGUAAACUACCUAUAAAAUAUUAAAUAAAUAAUAAUAAAAAAACUGCUUUUAAUUAAUAAAACUAUCCAAGCAGUUAAAAUACCAAUGAAGUCUAGGUAGAAUCCACUAUAAAAUAUUUUGGUUUUAUUUACUUCAUAUCACAUUAUGUAAACAAUAGGAUCGUUAAUUGCAGAUCUUCAGUGGACUAAUCACUGGUUCACUUCAUUUAAGAUGGCUAAAGUGACAAGGGAGCGACUUUGCAACUCAGUGCUGAACAAAUACUGCAAGGUAUUUUUGUUUGAAACCCUUUGCUUUCUUGCCAAUAAAUAUUAACAAGAGAGAGAGAGAGAGAGAGAGAGACAUGCACACACAUGGCGGUUUUUCACACAUUUUCUAUCUACCAAAUAACAUGGUAAAAGAAAACUGCUUAAGGUGCAGCUGAGUGAGAUUGGACCCAGAACCAGGUGGUUGUGAUGUGAACUCCUAAAGCCAUAUAGACAUUCUGCUUUACUAUAAUGGUUGUUGAUAAUGUCACAAGGAGUAAUGCAAUUUUAACUUUAUAUCCACAUUUAAAAUCAGAUAACAGUACGUCUUAUCACAUUUUAUAAAAGAUUAGUGCAACGAAAACUGAAAACAAAACAAAAAAUAAAUCAAAAUCUCUUGUUAUAUUUGUGUUUGGCUGUCAUUCUCAUCCUAUCAUCAUCAUCAUCAUCACUUAAUAUCUGUCUUCCAUGCUGGUAUAGUUCAGAUGGUUCAACAGGAUCUGAUGAGCUGGAGGAUUGCAUUGAGCUCCAAUGUCAACUUUGGUAUGUAUGGUUUCUAUUGCUGGAUGCCUUUCAGAACACCAACCACUUUGCAGAGUGUACUGGUUGCUUUUUUCAUGGCACUGGCCCUUGUGAAGUUGCUAAGUAAUGUUCAAGACAUGCCCACUUGACUAAGUGGAAGUAUAGUUGAAAGGGAAGUGGUUUUAUGCUGGAUGUUGGAUGUUUUAUGCUGAAUGUAUGACAGAGAAAACAGGUAUCUUACUGUGGAGACUCACACACACACAUUCACACAUCACACUACACUACACUACACACACACACACACACGUGCGCGCGCGACAGACUUCUUCCAGUUUCCACCUGCUAAAUCUACCCACAAAGCUUUGGUCAGGCAACCUGGGGUUGCCUGAAGUCACUUGCCCAAAGUGCUUUGUAGGGGGGCUAAAAUAUAUUAAUAUAUAUAAAAUUCAUAAGAAUUUGAUAAACCUCAAGAAAAUAUGGUUCUUGAAGCAAAUAAAGCUAUAAAUAACAUUUACAUGCUAUUAUACAUGCUAUUAUUUAUAGCUUUUAUUUCAAGAUUCAACUUUCCAAUAUAUAUAUAUAUAUAUAAAAUCUUGCUGAUCCUGCCAAAUACAAACUAACCAGCUAUUCUCACUGUAGAUAUCUCAAAAGUGAUAGAAAUGAUUUCAGACAGAGCAGGUGAUGAUGGUUGUUGUUGUAUAGGCCAAGGCCAGUGAAGUAGAUCUCUGUUCAGAGGGAUUCUUGCUACAGUAUUCUUGUCUUUAUUUUUUUCUAUUUUAGUGAUUAACUAUAUUAUUCAAUCUCUGUAUUUAUAAAUCAGUUAAGAUGUAAUUUGUGAGAGAUUUCACUUCUAUUUCUAGCUGGUCAAGUAGCUGUCAGUCUCAUUGGUUCAUGAUGACAGUGAUGGUAGUGGUGAUAAUAAUCAUGAUAAUAUAGAAGAAUAUAAAAUGUUUCUGUAUGAAUGAAACUUACUGGCAAGAAAAAUAAUUUUCGCUGAAAGAUAGACGGACAUACAGACAGAAUAUAACAGUGUCAAUUGAAUAGUUGGAAAGAUAUUUUUUAAAUAUGUUCUGUGACAUUGUGGAAAGUGAACUGGUCAUUAUCUCAUGGGGGAAAUAAUUUCUAUAAAAGCAAAUUUAUAUGUUAAAAUUGAACUAAGUUGUUCAGCUGUGUUCUUCUGUAAUUGAAUAUUUGAAGGUUUUAAAAGCCAUUAUGUAUAUUUAAAAAAAUGGUUUGUAGGAAUCAAAACUGUGUUAAUAUUACUUCUCAAAGAAUUCUAUAUCCAAUUGCUUUGAAUAUUCCUUUCUUUCUUAAGUGCUGGGAUUCCAGUGUUUCUCCCUCCUGACUUUGGCAAGCUAAAUGAUAGUAGCUGGUGGUCGGGGACUAUAUUGUGCCUUCUUGGGUGGUAUUUGAAUAGGAGUGUGUAGGAGGCAAAAACGUUAUUCUCCAGAGAGAAAAAUUUCAUUGAAUGAGAACUAAAAAAAAAAAAAAAAGAAAUCCAAUCUGACAAAUUUUGAUGUUAUUCCUUAUUUGCUCAGUAAUUGAGGCAGGUCAAUAGAGUUCAGGUGUCAUUAACCAAAUGAAAUAUUAAUUGCUUCCUGUACAAUUCCAUUUCGUGCCUACCAGCCUCCACCUUUUCUCCUUUCUUUCAAAAUUGUCUACACUUAUUAAAUAUUUGCUUAUGAGUAGAAAAGAUGUAAUAGCUAAUAAUCUUUUCAUUCACUUCAAAUCCCACAAUUUAUUUGUAACUUAUAUAUAAAAUGUUAAUAUAAACACCCAUCAUUGCCUAGCAGAAAAUAGUUAAGAUAAAUAUAGUUUUUGUGAAUGUUUGGCAUAAGCUUUUUUUUUCUUCUUUUUUUCUGUUUAAAAAAAAAGAAAAAAAAUUGUCUGUUAUAACUUUAUCAGAGAAGGGAUGGACUGUGCUCAUGACUUUCAGAUUGGUGCCAAUAGCCAACCUGAAUAACUGCAGGUCACUGUCUGCAGGAAGGAAAUACAUAAACUUAAGGAAGGUGGUGGAUUGCCACUAGUAUUCUGAUCUGUUGGUUUCCAAUGAACUUUAAAAUCAUUCAAUCCCAGUUGGUGAUGUUAAACUUUGCAGAAUUUUAGGUAUUCUGACACCCCUCAUUUCUGCACAAAAAAAAAAAAAAUGUCUAUGGUAUGUCAGUAUAGAAGGGAUGUUCAGCAAGAAAGGAAUGGUAAUUUGAAGUAGGAUUCAAAUAUUUACACAAAUGAUUAAUUUUGGUUCCAGAUAUACUGCAUUAUGGUGCACAAACUCUGAACCUUUCCACUUGAGAGGUUCAGAUGACAUCCUAUUACUUUGCUGAGACUCCUGAUAAAUUUGAGAAUUUAGUUCAUUAAAUUCUGAGACAAAAAAAAAACAAAAAGAAACUGAAAAAUACUUUCUCCAAUUCCAACUGUGAUGUUUUAAUAGAUAAGUCUUGAAUUGUUUAUAAAUAAUGUUAGAAAUAUAACGGCACUCAUACAAUCUUUGUAAGUUUAGAGCAGUCAGAUCAUUACUUUAAGUGGAGUAAAAUGAGAUAAUUCCUAUGAGCUAAGAGUAACCUGAUAAUCCUUUUAAGUUGAGCACAUCUAGUUGAUUAGUUGAUAUUUAUUUGGUAGCGUCUAAGUAAUUCUGGUAAGAUAACAACUGCUGACUGCUAACGUAGUCUUUGGGUGUCUUUAGUGCCCCCGCCCACUGUAUUACAAGCAUUUAGGCCCCAUCUUCAGUUUAAAGUCAUGGCUACUGCUCUUCCUCCUUUGACCAAAAAAAAAAAAAAAAAAAAAUUCUCCUUAGAACAUUAAUCAUAGCUGUGUGAUUAAGAAGUUCACUAUGUGAUUUUGGAUUCAAUUCAACUAUGUUGUUAGCUGAAGUGUUUUCAAUCACAACCUCAUAUUGCCCAAAACUUAUGUUGAUGUUUGAUACAUAAAAACUGUGUUGAAGUGUGCUGGGGACCAUUCCUGUUCUUGUCUGGUUUAUCACCAUUGUCUGGCACUUGGGUGCUUUUAGCAGAGUCCACUCUGUUACAUUUAUGUCAAAUGUUUGCUUUGAGGAUAACUUCUUUCCCUUUCUUCUUUGCCCAAGUCCUGUAACAUGAAAAUUCACAUAUAUAUAUAUAUAUAUAUAUAUAUAUAUAUAGUUGUAUGCAAAAUGAGCAGCUCUGAAAUAUUUGGGCAUUACUAAGUUGCCAUCAGUUAUUCAACCCUUUAGCGUUCAGAAUCCCUGUCAAAUGCAAUUCUUAUUUAUUCACAUGAUUUUGAAUUAAUCAUGCGCAACCUUGUAGCUUCAAGAUUUUGAUGAAGUAAUUGCUUAUUUUUAUAAUAACAAUGUAGGGUAGAUGUAAAAGGCCAGAUUUGGUCAGUUCAAACAUAAAACAGGUGGAAUAUUUGGAUUGGACAUGGCUAGUUUAAAUACUGAAGAGUUAAGUCAGUUAACUUUAAGAUCUACAUUUAGAAUGGUUAAAUGUAGUAGUAACUACCAGCAGUUACUAAGUUGGGGAUGGUGGAAUGUUAACUUAUUGCCGGCAGCAUUUUAGGAAUAUAUAAUAACAGUGUAUAGUAGACACUACAUAUAUCUAUCAGUAAGUAUUAAUUAAGUGAAACAGUUGACUCAAUGCCAAUAGAAUCUAUAAUUAGAUUACCUGUAUCUAGUGGUCAAAGCAGGUAUUGCCAACCAACAGCUGAGGUCUGGAGAGGGUUUAUAAUUGUUGAUGUAUUUAUGUCAUAGUCUUACAGACUAAUUUGGUUUUAGUUGGGAUCAUAAUGUAUCAGAAUUAAUAUAUGUUGUCUUGUUGGUAACUGUCAUUGAAUGCUGAUGUUGUUUUGAAGUAAAUUUAGAGCACAAAGAUACCCAUUGAAAGAAACAUUUGUUCAUCAGUUCAACCAUGGCUUCCUGUCUUCAUUGUGGGAACAUGUCUUAAUAUUUAGUACCUAUGAAUGUGGUGAGCUGGCAGAAUUGUUAGCGCACUGGGCAAAAUGAUGAGCAACAUUUUGUCUGUCUUUAUGUCCUGAGUUCAAAUCCCACUGAGUUCAAGUUUGCCUUGCAUCCUUCCGUGGUUGAAAAUUUGAAACCAAUAUUUAGCACUAAUUAGCAAUGAAACUGUCUUCAGUAAACUUCUGUUCUCAAGAUGUAUUGCAAAUGUCUCAUCAUUUUCUCUCUCUCUCUCUCUCUCAAUGGUUCUGUGUCAUUACUCCAGCUCUUGUAUCACUGUCUCUCUACCAAAUGUCUUGUACCACUGUCUCUCUACCAAAUGUCUUGUACCACUGUCUCACUAAAGUUGGAAAUAAAUUAUGCCUUAAGUUCAGUGACGGAUGUGCUGUUCUAAAAUUUAACAAAGGCAUCCACAUUUCUCAAUGAUUUAAGUCUUUCAUGUUUGCAACUAUUGGCAUAUCUUUACUCUCCAUAAGUGCAACUCUCUUUCUGUCAAUUUUUUAUGAUAUACAUUAAUUUGUGAGCUAGUGAGGAAGCCUCUAUGUAGUUGCUCCAUUGCUAGGAACAGUAAUCAGUUUUUCCUUAAAACCACACUCUACUAUCUUAAAAAGAAAUAUUAAAUAUCUAAAGUAUGCUAUUCCUAAAAAGAAAAAGAUGGUAUGUCAUAGCUGGAAUGGCUUUGAUCGUAGGUCUGCUCAGUCAAGACUGACCUGGGGCUAAACAGCAAACUAUACAAUUCCAUCCUGAACAAUAACAGCAUUGAACUCCAUAGUGUAUGAAGGCCUGCCAAGACCAUGGGUAGUGCUACUCUUCCUUGGACUGAAUAAUAAUCAAUUAAACAAAAACAACUAAUCUAAAUGCUGUUUAGAAUAUGUUAUCUGUCUUCAGUGCCCCCUUUCACUGAAUGUUUAUUUAAAAAACACAUCCUCUCCCUAUGUCUUGCAUAGAUAAAAAAACAACCCCCAAAAAACCUCCUUCCCAGAAGUUAAUUUUGCACUGUAGUUUAUUGUCCACAUUUUCUUAUAGUACAUAUCAUCCAGCACGUUCUCCUUUUUAGAUAUUUGUAUGGACUGUGUUAAGUAUAUUAUACUGGAUUUUGGUACAUCAUCAGUCAUGUUUCUGCUCAGGCACAGACAUGACUGUGGUAUUAGAAGUUUACUUCCUAACCAGAUGGUCUUCAGUUCAGUCCUACUGUGUGGCAUCUUGGACAAGUGUCUUCUGCUAUAGCCCCAGGUUGACUAAAGCCUUUUGAGUGGAUUUGAUAGAUGGAAACUGAAGGAAGUCUGUUGUAUGUAUAUGUAUAGGUUGCAUGUGUUACUGUCUCCUUGCUUUGAUUUCAUAUGAUUGUUGUAAAUGAACAUUAGCGUUAUGCAAGUGAUUGCCUUCAUUUCCAGUCUUCUGUGAAAACAUAUAUAUUCAGGUAUAAAAUCUUAUUUACAUAUUGUGGUCUGUAUUAGCUACCAGUUGCUGACAGUGUCAUUGAAAAGUCAUUUGCAAUAUAUUCUAUUGUUACAGAAGCUAUAUAAUUCACACUGUACUGCAUGCCAUCAUUACACUGCACUGUAGGCAAUUUAGGGCACAAAGAGGUUAACUAAAACAUCAAGAAGCGGGUUUGUAAUCUGUAAAGAUUAGUGGCUGUUAUUUAAAAAACAUAUCCCCUGUAUGUUUAAACAAACUAGAAAUUAUGUUUCUGUGUAUAUAUGGCUAGACUUGCAUGUGUGUGCGCACUCAUACACACACGCGAACACAUUCUUCUGAGUAAACAAAAUGAAAAUUAUGUCAUUCUUUUACUUUUGCGACUGUGUCUUUUGUUGUCAAAGCACUGACUAAUUACAAAAAUGUGAAGUGCUUAGAAAUAUAUAGGUCACAAACAAGACAUGGAAUCUACUUCAAAAAGUACCUGUUAGAAAAUAAAAAUAACAACAACAAGAAUAACAAAUGAAAUAUGAAAUAAAAAUAUAAAUGCUGUAUUGCUAAAACCCUUCUAAAACUUAUUUCUUCAUACAAAUUGUCGAUUAUUGGUUUAGUGUAGAUCAGCAUUUGUCAAAUUGGGAUGUUAAAAUUAAUUUCCAUGCGGGCUGGGGAUUCAAAUGAAACUUUACCUGCCUUUGAAUGCCACUUUAGAAAAUUUAGAGCAAGGUGCUUGCUAUUUCAGUUUGUCAUCAAACAAGGGUGUCGGACUAACAAAACGGUUGGGAGACAAAGUUGUAGGUCAGUCACUGGUUCACUAUUGGCCAAUCACUGCUUCACUAAACAGCCAAUCAUUGGUUCACUUUAGGCUAAUUCCUGAUUUGCUGUAGGCCAGUCACUAGUUCACUGUACACUAGUCACCAGUUCACUUCAUUUUAAUACUCAGAUGUGGAUUGGUGCAGACAUAGCUGUGUGAUAAGACAUUUGCUUCCCAACUACAUGGUUCCGGGUUCCAUUCCACUGCAUGACAUGUUGGGUGAACGUCUUCUGUGUGUGUGUGUGCGUGUGUGUGUGUGUGUAUAUAUACUGUCCAAUUUUAUAAUGCAUCAUCCUAAUUAUAUGUGCAGGUGUGGCCAUGUAGCAAGAAGCUUACUUGUCAACCACACGGUUCUGGGUUCAGACUCACUGCAUGACACCUCCCACUAUGGUUUUGGGGCUGACCAAAACUUUUUGAGUGGAUUUGGUAGAUGGAAACUGAAGGAAGUCUGUUGUGUGUGUGUGUGUGUUGUGGAAAUUAUAUAUAUGUGUGACAACUUGUGUUGGUGUGUUUAUGUCCCUGUAACUUAGCAGUUCAGCCAAAGGGAUUGAGAGAAUAAGUACCAGGCUGGAAAAAAUUAGUAUUGGGAUCUAUUCAUUUGACUUAAAAUUUCUUCAAGGCAGUGCCCCAGCAUGAGUGCAGUUAAAUGGCUGAAACAAAUAAAAGAAAAAAGAUAAGAGAUAAUACUAAUUAAUUAUGUUAAUUAGUAUAAGAUCUGUUUAACAUUGUUACUUUCAGUUUACUCAACUUUAGUGUAGUACUGGUAUUAACAUUUUAUUAACUUCAGAGAAACACAAAGCCAGCAUUGGUUGUGUUUGGACCAUAGAACCUUGAGGUAAAAUACUCAAAAAGAUGCCAACUUGGCUCUGUCUCUCAUCUAUGUCAUCUCCUCCCAUGCAGUGAGAGAGCUUGCUUGUAAUUGCCCAACAAAUUAUAAAUAAUAACCAAGUCUCCUUCAAAUCACACUGUAGAAUAUAUUAAGUAAUGUAGUCUUUGAUAUCCUUAAAAAAAAAAAGACAGGAUGAUCACAGCAGGAGGGGCUCUUAUUUUCAAUCUACUUGAUCAACACUAACUUCUGGCUAAAUAGUACCAAUAACAACAACUCUACUGCUCUUUAUCUAGUCCUAAACUGGACUGUAUUCAGCCUAUUGCAUAUGGCUAAUUUGUUUGGUGUUCAUCAUCCUUUGUUUGGUGUUUCAGGGGUUGCCCUUAACAAAUAUGGACUAUAGCCAUCCUCUUCAAACAUGUGGUCUUUUAUUUUAAAUUCAAUGUUGAGAUUGUUGUUUUCUUUCACUUAUUUUCUCUCUCCUCUACUCGCUUCUCCUCAACUCACUUCUCUCUGCCACUCAACUCACUUCACCUCUUUUCCUCAUUCUCCUCUCCCCUUCUCCCAACACCCUCCUUAUGUGAUUAUAACGUUCUGUUGAUGGCGAUCAGCUAGUUUUAGUAUACUCUUAAGCUUUCCUGAGUAAACAAUGGUGCCAAGUAGAGACAAUAUGUUAUGUAAAAGCCAGGUAUUGGACAUUCCUUUCUCAUCUGUAAGACUGAUUGGUAAAUAACUCUGUUUCAUACUUGCUGUUUAAUAUUCAGGUGUGUGUAUUGUCUUUGGCUCUUUCUCUCUAUACCUAUCUUAUUUGUUAUCUUUUACUUGUUUCAGUCAUUAGACUGCAACCAUAUUAGGGCACUGUCUCGAAAUUUUAGUCAAAUGAAUUGACCCAAGUAAUUUUAUUUUAAGCCUGGCACUUAUUCUAUCAAUCUCUUAUAUUAAACUGCUAAGUUACGGGGAUGUAAACAUACCAACAGUGGUUGUCAAGCAGUGGUGGGACAUACACUUCUUUCAGUUUCCGUCUACCAAAUCCUCUCUCAAGGCUUUGGUUGGCCUGAGGCUAUAGUAGAAGACACUUGCCCAAGGUACCAUACAGUAGGAGUGAACCCAGAACUAUGUGGUUGGGAAACAAGCUUUUUACCACACAGCCAUGAGUGUGUAUAACACUGAUUUGACUUGUUUUGUUUUCUUGUUUGAGACUAAUGUUUUAUCUCAUAAUUAUCUUUGUAGUUGAAAGAAAUCAUUAUUAUAAAUUGUGUAAAACUGAUAAUUCAUAUGAGUUAAGGGCUAAACUCUUAUAAGUUGAGAGCAAUUAUAUCAUCCUAUUAAAUUUGGAGCGCCUAGAUCAGUGCAUUUUUUUAAAUGCUGUUGCUUAUCUUUUAGUAAUGUCUUUUCAAUGCUCACCUCUCCAACACCUUUGCUACAAUUCAACCUAUCUCAUUUCCAAUGUUCAUAUAUGUAGUAUCAAGCAUUUGUAAUUUAGUUCCAGGUAACAGUUUGAUGUAGGUGACUACUUACCACAGUACCAUCCUACUAUAAGUAAAUAUUUGACACAUCUCCAUUAAAUUUAAGGUAUUCACCCAACCUUUAGCACACGGCUUCAACCAAUAUCAUGUAUGCUUUCUACAUUCUUCAUAUUCACCCUUGUAGCUACAAGUUGAAAUUUAUCUUUAUAAUUUUAGUUUAUAGUCGUAUUUUCUGUAUGAUCACAUACACGUAUAUUAAUUUCUCUGCUUGCCUCUGAGUUUACACAUCCAUUUAUAGCUGUACUAAUAGGGCCUGUACACAUAUAUUAGGGCAUUACUUCAUGCUCCAAGUACAGUGGUCACCUUUAUUGCAUGUAUGAAAAUACCCACAAAUGUCUUUUAAAUUAUACUUUAGUUUAUUGUUUAUAAUUUAGAUACAUAGGUGCAUAUAUUCGGUUUUGUUUACCUGUUUAUUCAUGUUUCUAAGCCUAUCAUUAUUGUUGAUGUUGUUGUGAUUGUAGAUUACAAGCUGUUUAUCACAACAUUACAUUGAUUUUCUGUAGGAAGACAAAAAAAUCUGUACAGAUGCAUCUAUUACCCUUCUAUUUUCUCCUUUGUCUCCAAGAGGCUGCACCAAAUGCAAAAAAAAAAAUCCAGUAUGGUUUAAUUUAAGGAAGUAGUGGCUAUUUCUAGCAGAUCAAAUGGCUACAUAGUCUCCUUCCUUGGUUCACCUUCAUUGGUGACAAUGCUCGAAGAGUAAAAGCAGAAUUAUUAUCUGCCAGGUUAUUCUUACUUUAAUAUCCUUCACUGAUUGGAUAUUUUUGUAUAAAGCUGCUAGAUUUCACUUGUUCAUGGAUUUUGAAUGGAUUUUCUGUCAAAUCUAAUAUGUUUAGUCUAUGUUGUUGUUUACUGUUGCCCUGUGAUGCUUUACAAUACAACACCCUUCUUCAGACAUUCAACACUGUGUGGGAAAGUCCAUCAUAAAGUAUUUUUAAGUCACUAUUUUAUAUUUGUGAAGGUAGAUUAUGGUUUCCAUUUGCCUUUUGCAUUUAUUUGUUGUUCUAUAAGGCAACAUGUGUGUGUAAUUGUUUUAUGAUUUUAUGGCCAUAUUUCCAUGAUGGUAUUUUUGGUAGGCAUUUUGAGGCAGUGUUUUAUGACUGGAUACCUCUUCUGGUGCCAGCCCUUUUACACACCCUUUAUAAGAUCCUGACUAAAAACUGAUAUAUAUAUAUAUAUAUCCUACACUUCAGACUUCCUCAUGUUCCUUUCUGUUGAAGAGCAUUGGCUUGAAAUGUAAAAGACUUUCUCACUUUCCUGAGCAUCAAACAAAUACACUUGCUUGUUAUUUAUACACCUGUCUUCGUCUUUUGCUUUCCUGUAAAUUUCAAUUUUACCUAAGUAAAGUCAUUAAUGGCAAAACCGGUCUACGAUUAAUUCUUUAUUUUGUAUAUUUUCAUCUGUCUUACCUGCCUAUGUUCUGGUGUUUGCUGAAUUUUUCUAGAGAACAUUCUUUUCUUUGUGGUUAGAUCGUAGGUGAUCUACUUCUAGCACAUUGGAUGUCCACUUAGUUGUCAUCCCUUCUUAUACGCAUAUAUAUAUAUAUACUAGCAGCAUAGCCCGGCGUUGCCCGGGUAUGUAAGAGCCCCUAGUAGGCAACGACUAAUCCCAAUGUAGUCCUUUGCCUCCAGGGAACGAAGGUGCAUGUGGACGUUGCAAUGUCUUGUCUUCACUGGAAUACUUCUGUAUAUACGAUGUUCCUAGCUGUCCGUUGGGGCGAAAACAUGAAAACAUCAUUGCGCCUCCCAACGCGUGAACAGCCCACGUAGAGUUGACCUUGGGCGAAGCACUGUUCGCCCAAAUGUAACCCAGCGACUUGUAGCGUUUGGCCUUGGGAUUUAUUGAUGGACAUUGCGAAGCAGAGUUUAACAGGAAACUGAGAACGCCUGAAGUGGAUUGGUAGGUCAGCGUCCGACGGUUGAAGGUGCAUCCGUGGAAUGAAGACGUCCUCUCCCUUCCCACAACCGGUAAGUAUUGUGGCCGUUAUUAAAUGUGGUGCCAAAUGUUUCACAACCAAACGUGUGCCGUUGCACUGUUUAGGUGGAACCAAAUUCCUGAUGAGCAUAAUGGGCGCACCGACUUUUAACUUCAGGAUGUGUGGUGGCAGGCCUGGCGGUUCAAGUGAAUUCAGGAAUUCAACAGGAUAAUCGGCAAGCUGGGCGGGGUCUGCUGUCCUAUCUAUAGAUUUGUAGACGUGGACAUCACCAGGAAUAGCUUCAAGUAGCUGGAUAUUGAUGGAGUUGACGGUUGUAUUUUUGGGUGCGAGAAUAGCUCUGCCUGCCAGCCAUUUUAGGUCGCGUAAAUUGUUUUGUAGGUCGUGGAAGACAGCGUCCCGGAGGCUAGCAGGGGUGUCGACAAUGGUGCAAAGUGAGUCCAAUUGAACGUAGCCAUCCGCAUCAGACAGCAUCCUAUUUUCACCGAGCGAUAAGAGGUCCCUGGAGAAUGCAGCGGAUCCGCUGUCACCAAUUAACUGCGCGCGCAUGUUAGUUUGGAGGUGCAAGGGCCGCACAUGUGCCCAAAGAGCUGACGACUUAAGGCACGCGCGCACGGCAUCGGCACGGGUUCCUUUUGGAAUAACAGGUAGAGUCUGCCUGAAGUCUCCUGAAAGAAGUAAAGUUAAUCCUCCCAUGGGGGCCGUAGAGUCUCUGAUGUCUUGCAGGGACCUGUCCAGUGCCUCAAGGGCGCCUUUGUGUGCCAUAGUGCACUCGUCCCAUACGAUGAGUUUGCAUCUGCGCAGAAUGUCGGCCUGUUCUGAGUUCUUGGCGAUGUUGCAGAUAGGUGACUCGGACUUUGCCAGAUCGAGCGGGAGUCUGAAGGCAGAGUGGGCGGUUCUGCCACCCGGAAGCAACGUGGCCGCGAUACCAGAGGAAGCUACAGCCAGGGCAAUGUCCGUGUUGCGUCUGACCUCUGCCAGAAUUAGUUUAGUGACGAAGGUUUUGCCAGUGCCGCCGGGUGCAUCAAGGAAGAAAAUCCCCCCACGUUGCUGUCUGACAGAGUCUACGAUGGUGUUGUAGGCUAUGCGCUGGUCUGGAAGCAGCCGUGGUUCAUUAUCUUGGACGUACUGGUGCAGUUCCUCAAUGCAGUAGGAAGUUUCGCGUAACAAUUCAGCAGACAUAACAUUGGCGUGUUCACGUGUGGGUGGUGGAAGGCCGUACUCUGUUAAAGCAGACCCACCCAUAUCGAUGACAGCGUCUUCGAGUUGAAUGAGCGCAAAAUUGUAAAUGAAGUUGGUGAACGUGAUCUCGGCGGAAGGGCAGUGUUGCUGAGCCGUACGUAAGAAGUCGUGCGACAUGUCAUCCCUGUAUUUCAUCCAGAGACUUAGUGGAUCACUAAGCUGACAUUUUUGAAGAAGGAUUGCGAAAAGAUGUCGUAGGGCCGAAUGCGUUUGCAGUAAAGCACCCUCUGCCAUCGUGGCGUCCCACUGGGAGUCAUCCUCUAGAAGGCCAAGUCUCAUACAUGCUUCCCUGAAGGUGUCGCACAUAACCCCAUUGACGGUACGUAUAUUGGCGAAACCUGUUGGACCAGUGACCUCAUGUAGAAGGAGACGGAGGUAGAAGCAUUCUUGCUGGUUUGGCGGGAUGUUGUAAACUCGACCCAGGCAGGAGUCAAACUUGACGCCUGGGAAGCUUUCGACGUUUUUGCCGGAUUUCCGUCGAACCCAGGUGUUUUUAGACCACACGAAGUACGAUGGGACCUGUGGGUACAAAAGCGUUCGAGCGAAGUCAUCACGUUGGCAUAAUUUGAAGAAACCAGUCAACGUUGUGUCUUUAGGGCUGGUGGCUAUCUGCACAGCACUUUGCUCUGUGAAGUAAAUCCGCUGUCCAUUUUCCAAGUGUACAGCAAGCUGCACCACAGCCGGGUGUCUCUGAUGGAGCGGGAAGCCGUAAAUGCGCCAAAACGCUUCGUUGCUGCUGAGGUACCGGCCAGCCAAGUAGUUGGACACUUCGUCGCGACUGGUGGUCCUCUGGAUGCUGAACAUGGCAGCAUCGCUGCCUUUGUUGAUAUAUUUGCAGACAUAUUGUAUUGACCUGAUGGAGCUGCAGAACUCAACGUUGACGUGGGCUUUGAAUAUCUUCGACAGGAGAGGACAGUAGGGGACAAUGUAGCUGUUGUCCACUUGAUGUCGCCCAACCGUAAUCGUGCGGCCUCCAUUGGCUGGACUCCUUCGUUUGUACAGCGGAUACCCAUCGCCGCCUGUUUGAGUCUCCAAAGUGAACCGUUUAGGGAAUCCCUUUGAGCAGGCUAAUCCGUUUUUGUAGCAUGGUGUGUUGGCGUAAUUUGGUCCACAGGGCCCGUGUACCAUGGUAGUGCGGACAAUUUCGUAGAGUCCGGGGUCCUCAUCGGGGUCAGGAAUCUCGGCGGAAAUGAAUUUGUCAAUGUCAUUAGUCUCGAUUUUAUGAGUGAGCCAAAUUAAGAUGUGAGCAUGUGGCAAGCCCCUCUUUUGCCACUCGACCGAAAACAUGUGGCACCUGACAUGCCUGAAAAUCUGACCCUUAACUAUCAAAUCCUUCAUUUUGCCCAAAUUCAGACGGAAAACCCUAGCAACGAUGUCGUGUCGAUGGGUGUGAGAUUGACCCGGGAGGAGUUCGCGAGUGAUUUCGUCGCAGCUGGGAUUGCACGUGUAGGUGAUAAAGAGGUCCGGCCGGCCGUAAAUGCGCACGUAGAUCAAGGCGUCUUGGGUCCUUUCACGCAUAUAUCGCGGUCCUCCCGUGAAGGUGGAGGGUAGAAUGCAUGGCUUGCCGAUGUUGCGAGGGUCAUUUUCUUGUUGCAAACCGUCACAGAGAUGAAUGUAGGAGUCGGAGCGAAGUUUGGUCUGAUUAAGUUUAAUGUAUAGCAGCCUUUCCGAUUCCAUUUUUGCGGCCAUGUCGACGGCGAACUGGUUGAAUAGCUGACGACAACGGGCAAUAAGUUGAACUCACCCUCCCUGACCAUGAACCGGUAUAAGUAGAACGCCCUGCAGGAAACCGUCUUUGAUGCCGCAGUAGUUUGAUUGGAGGGCUGCCGUAAAGGAAUUCCGAAGUGGUAGCCGUCUUCCCCAUAAGGGAAAAGCAAUGGAUACUGAAGCGCGUCAUAAGAUCUGUGAGUCUCGCUGAUCCUGUGUAGGUUGUUACCACGGGAGGAGAUGAUUAUGUCACGGCUGUUGUGUUGCUCUCCGUGUAUAACUGCGGCAAUUUCGUUGCACGCAGGUGCGUUGAAACGGCGUUCGUGCUCCCCGUGGGGUCGUUUAUCAGCAUCAAUGACAACGGUGAAGUUUGGAGAUGGAGCACUGUCCAAGGCAUAUCUGAAGCUGCAGACGUAGCUGUUGAUAUCAUGAAGCAUGGUUUGGAGACGGAGAAGAAUGUCUUUGCGAGGAACAUAGCUUGUACCCGGUAUUAUUCCAAGGCGUGCAUCAACCUGGUGGUUGUAGUCGGCAAUGAAGUAUAUUUGGAGGAAAGAAGACUGCUGAAUCUCGUCUGGCAGAAGUGACCCAAUAAGAUGGUAGACCUGUCCCUGCACUUUGAAAGUAGGCAUCCAGCCUUCUCUGGGAGGAAUUUUGGCCCCGAAAGAGGUCAUUUGGAAUGAGCAGUUGUACUUUCGAAUUAUUUCAAGGAAUUGUGACGAAUCGGGGGUUAAACCCGCCGCGAGAUCCUUCAGUGGUUGAGGUGGUUCCCGUAGGGGUGGCAGGUCCACUUUGCCACCAGAGCAGCACAAACCAGGUGGCUCUCCGGGCCAUUUCUUGGCUUUGCAAAACUGGCAUACAAUUGUCAUUGACCCUAUCUUGAUGUCGUCACGCAAGGAGAAGUUAAUUGUGGCGUCGUAGUUGAAUGCUAGUGACAACCAGAAAGCGGGGGCAGGGGUACGUACACCACGAAUGAUAUCCCGACGUUUGUUGAUACUCUCAAGUCGAGUGCACCGUGCCUCAGCAGAUUCAGAUGCACGUGCGACAGCGGUAGCAGUGGCAUCCCUUGAAAGCCUUUCAGCUCUCGCCUCAGCACCCUCUGAAGCCCUAGCAGAAGCAGUGUUAAUGGCAUGUCUGGAUGUCCGAAUAGUCCGUUGGUGUGGAGUUUCGGCAGAUCGAGCCCUAGCUGUGUUUGCGGCGUUAGCAGCUUGGCGAGCUCUCCUCUGUUGAGGUGUUUCGGCAGCUUUGGCCAUGGCUUUGUUUGCGGCGUCAGCAUCUUGGCGAGUUCUCCUCUGCUGUGAGGUUUCGACAGAUCGUGUCCUGGCAGUGCUAGUGGCGUUAGCCGCAUUCCGAAUGGCCCUUUGUUCGGGGUUCUCGCAAGCUCUGCGGAUGGAAGCACAGUAAGAAGCCCGCAUUUUUUGGCUGGACUGUUGCUCUUUCGUCAACCUCGAGCGGAGGGAAGAUCUGUACGCUGCGACCCUUGCAAGUCGGGUAGAACGGUCGCUAGUAGUUUCAGAUGCCUGAGCAGCGGCAUAACGGCAAGCUGUUUGCGAUAGGCGCAAGGCGGUUUCCUCGUGGGUCUCGCGUGCCCUUCUAGCCCUAGCAGCCGAUGCCUUGGCCGUCCGAGGGCUGAGGAGGGUCCUUCUCUUCUUGGGUGGCAUUUUGGUGGAUAGCAAUGUGUUUGGCAAAGGUGUAAUAAAAAGGAACACGUGGGGUAAGUAUUUUGGUGGAUAGCAAUGUGUUUGGUAAAGGUGUAAUAAAAAGGAGCUCGUGGGGUAAGUAUCCGAAAAUGUAUAAAAAUGUACAAAAACGGCCAAAAAGCUGGCAGCAAUGUGAGUGACAACAACGAAAAAGUCAAAAGUGAUCAAACUGAACAAACGAAAGGAAAAGUUUUUUGAUGCACACGACAAAAGUGGUUUAUAAUAAACCAAGAGUUUGCAAGUAGCGUCCGAGGACCGUUAGGGUACGUCAAAAAUUGAAGGUAAAACGUUUGGGGUGGUAGUUAUAAAGAAAGUUUAAACCAAAAAAGUAUUCGAAUAACUUGCGGCUGCAGCAGCUAUUAGCAGAAGUGGCGGUGUUGGGGGUAAAGUCUCGAAUGUAAUUUCUUCCUGGUAGGAAUUGGUUGGAUCGAAUUAUCGAUAGCUAAAAAGGUCAAGUUGCGUCCCCUAGACAGUCUGGUUUGUGUUUAAUACACAAAUUUGUUUGCUAUGUGUGCCACAUAUGAUUAAAUUAACCGAUUUUUUCCAAUAAUGUAUCCUAUUGGAAUAAAAAGGGCUAUAUAGCUCCUUGGAGCAGACAUGAUGCUCGUUGUGAAAAAAAAAAAGAUUCCUGCCAAUUUGUGAAAGAUAUUGUCGAAAAUAUGUCAUCUUGAAUUUGAACGCGAUUUCCCAAAAUGGCAUGAUUUUAUCGAUUGUUUCUGAUGGUAAGGUAUUGCAUGGAAAACUAACGUCAGAAUUGAGUUUCUUAGGGUAACAUUAAGCUUCACCAUGAGUUUGGUGAAAAUCGAUUGCAAGUUGUGAAAACUACCAUAGAUAAUGCGUUGCAUAAAAAAAGCUUAGAUUCUCGAGUUGCGUCCCCUAGACAGUCUGUGGUUCAUGUUUAUGAUUCUCGACCCCAUGUCGAAUUUAUCAAUUUUCUCAGAACUGGGGGAACUUUUCAAAAUUUUCGCUGCGUUAGUUUUGAAUUAUGACAUUGGGCUAUGUGUGUGUCAAGUUUCAUCAGAAUCGGUUGAAAGCCGUGGUCAGGGUGAGGGUACGAGAAAACAGACACACAGAAGCACGCACAGACAAACUGCCGUUUAUAUAUAGAGAGAUAUAUAUAUAUAUAAACACACACACACACAAAGGUGUGUGGUGUAACUCUCUUUAAAUUUGUGCAGUGGUUUACCAGAGGUAUCCUUGUGGAUGCUAUCACACAAACAUAUAUAUAUAUAUAUAUAUAUAUAUAUAUAUAUAGGAUAGCUGUAUGUGAUAGAAUAGUGACUGUGAAGCUGGGUCAAAGAGGCUUUAGCAGUGGUAAUAACCAUUGAACACACUGUCUUUUCAUUGUCUUAUCUUUUUAUUAUUGUUUGGUUGAGAAGUUAAAAUGUUUACUUUGCAUGCAUAUGCCACACCUUGGAUAAGUUUCUUCUACCGUAGCUUCAAGUUGACCAAUACCUUGUAUGGAAGUCUGUACAGUCUCACAUGCACACAUGAAUGCAGCUGUGUGGUUAACAAACUUGCUUUGCAAUCAUGUGGUUUUCAGUUCAAUCCCACUGCAUAGCACCCUGAGUGGGUGCCUUCCCCUAUAGCCACAGGCUGACUAAUGCCUUGCAAGUGGAUUUGAUAGACGAAAACUGUGGAAGCUAUUUUACUAUUUAACAACAUGUAUUGGUCUGUUUACACCCCCAUAACUUAAUAGUUUGGGAAAAAAAGAUUGAUAGAAUAAGUACCAAACUUUAAAAAAUAUGCAUUUGGCCCAACUUAUUCAACUAAAUCCCUUAAGGUGGCGUCCCAACAUGGCCACACUCUAAUGACUAAAACGAUUAAAAAGAAUAGUAAAUACUUGAAACUUAAGACAUUUCCUUCUUUUCUGAGUGUCAACCUAGCACCAACUCUCUGUUUGUUUUUUCACCUUGUUUUUGAGCUGUCUUUUUUGCACCACACACACUCACACACACACAUGUAUGUAUCCCCUAAAAACCACAUGCAACUCAUUCCAGCAAUGGAGAGGUGUGCUUAUUUUCUUUUGUUAUUGUCUGAGUUUGUUAAUGGUAAUGGUUAGUAUUAUGUAUGUAUAUGUUGUUAGAAAUAUAUACAUAUAUCUUUUCUUUCCUGAUAGUGUAUACUGCCUUGCAUCUUGGGCAAGUGUCUUCUACUAUAUCAUCAGGCCAACUAAAGCCUUGUAAAUAGAUUUGGUAAUAGAAGCUAAAAGAUCACUCCCUCCCUCACUCAUUUCUUGACUUGACUUGCAUGAUGGUUACAAAUGAGUGAUGUUGCCAUACAAGAUAUGGAAGUCAUUUCCAAUCUUCUUUAAAAACAUGUCUGGUCAUGGGAAAAUAUUGUCCUGCUGGGAAACAGGUGUGGGUUGGUAACAGGAAGAGCAUCCACCUAUAGAAAAUUGUCCUCAACAAAUUCUAUAUGAUCCAUACAAGUGCACAUGUGUGUGUGUGUGUGGGGGGGGUUGCAGGCAUAAGAAAUUCACUUUUUAAUUAAUUGUUCUUAGAUUUAAUCCCACUGCAUGGUAUUUUGGUCGAAUGUCUUUUAUGUUACCUUUGGGUCAAUCCAAGUUUUGUAAGUGAAAUUAGAUGGAUGGAAGUUGGAGAUGUGUGUCAAAUGAAGCAUACAUGUAACCGAAAGGUCCCAUUUUGUCACACUGUGUUGUACUGAUGUUGCUUGACAAUUAUAGUUUGCUACACAUAUUCAUCAUGAUUUGUGUAUGUGUAGCUUGCAGCAAAAGAUUGGCAAGAAGAUUAUUGGGGGGAAGGGUGCUUUUGUAUACAAAUAUACUGUGGUUGUUUGUUUUGCUUGAGUGGCACAGACAAUCCCAUAUCAUAAUCAUUAUACAUGUCAUAAAGUCAUAAAUCAGUGAUUGGUCCAUUCUGUAGCCCAUAGCCUCUGUGGUUCACCAAAUACAAUUAAAAAGCAAAAAGAAAAGGCUUAACAGUUAAAUCAGGGGUUUUCAACCAUUUAUUAGCCUAUGGACACCUUUGUUUUACUCUGGUGGACCCCAUAGACAUUCGAUGUUUAAAAAUAGUUUUAUAGACACUUUUUUACAAAUGCAGAUUUUGUUUUUCACCUGUUCACUUGUGUAGGUUUGCAAUAGCACUCACUGAGAGAACAUGUUCCAGUGGAUAGAAACAUGUUGAACUAUGUAAAACACAAACACAUCUAAUAUAAAAGUUAUUCAUGGAUCCCCUAAAAUACUAUCGUAGAUCUUCAAUUUAUUACUUUGCUUGCUUGGACCUACAAAAAUCUUAUAUGGACCCCAGUUGAGAACCACUGAGUUAAAUUAAUAUUUUAAAGAAACAGAAUUAACAGAAGUUAGUGCUAGGAAUGUGAAGGGAACACAGAGAGCUUUUUUCCAGUAAUGCCAAUAAUAUAUUCUAAUAUUGUUGGGUAUGCUCCAGAUAAAUCCUUAUUAAACAGGCAUCAGACAAAGAACUAAGUGCAGUUGUUUUCAUAUUUUUAAGUGCUCAUUGAGAGAAGAAAAUAUAGCACUCAUUAAAAUGCUUCUUCUACAUUUUUACUGUGGGUGUGCACAGAAAUUUGUACUGCAUACAUAUUUUGUCUUUCUUUAUAAAGUGUGUGCGCAUUCAUGCAAGAAAUCAUUGCUCAGAUUUCUUCAAUUAAUCUGAUUUCAUCUUGCAAACUUUGUGUGCACACAUUUUUUGCCUUUCUUAGUUGUAAAAUGAGUAUAUGCACACAAGUACAUAGCUUAGAAGGACCAUUGCUUAUGGCCACAUAUAUUUACAGGGCAUUUGAGACUGAUGGGAUAAAGACAAAAGAACAAUCUUCAGCCAGAAGACCUGGUUCAAAUGCUUUCAAGAGAGUGAACUCUGCUAAAGGCACUCAAGGACCAGCUGGUGGGUUUAAAUGAGGUGAUGGAAUUAAAUCUACCACUCAAAAUUCAAGGUGCAAAGAACCAGCAUAAAUACUGUAUGGUAUCUUGUCCAGUGCUUUAACAAUUCCACCAAUCUAUCUACCUGGAUUGGCAUUUUAUUUUAUUGAUUCUGAAAGAAUGAAAACAAAUAUUAUGCAGUUGGAUUUGAACUUGGAAUGCAGAAAACCUGAAACAAAUUACAUAAUGUAUUUUGUUUUGUGCUUUAAUGACUCUGCCAAUUCACUGUUAUUCUUGGCAAACUGUUUCAUUAUUGCUGUUAAAUUAUUUAUUUUUUGUUAUUUUAUUUUCUUGGUAAUUUUUGUCUUUUUUCUUCUGGCUAUAAUAAAUUUUGAGGUAAAACAUUUGAUCAUGAGCAAGCUGGAUUGGUCAAUAACUAACAUUCUUUGCAUUCUCUCUCUCUUCAUUUCUGAUCCUCCUCCCCCCAUCUGGAAUUAAGUCUACCAUGCAAAAUUCAAGGUGCAAAGAGCCAGCAUAAAUAAUGCAGAGCAUCUUGUCCAGUGUUCUAACAAUUCUGUUUACCUUUCAACCUGGAUGGGCACUUUAUUUUAUCAACUUUGAAAGGAUGAAAAGAAAAAUUGACUGCAGUUGGAUUUGAACUUGGAACACAGAAAGACCAAAACAGAUACCAUGAAGUAUUUUGUUCUCUACUGUAACGACUCUGCCAAUUCACUGUUAUUUCUGGCAAACAGCUUCCUUACAGCCAUUAAUUACUUGAUACAGCAGGUGUGUUUUAUGCUCGAGUGUUUCUCGAAUAUCACAAUAUGCUCAAUGCAAUUCCUGAAAGUAUGGUUUUUAAACUCCCCAUUUGUUAUUAUUCUCAGGAUGUUAGCCUUGCUCAGCUGCUGUGCAGCAAACAUUUUGAUCUAGCUUCAGAAUAAAUUGCUGAAAAUUUUUAUUUGACUUCACAACUCUGAGUUACGUAAAUCAGGAAAUGUGAAAUAAAACUGUAAGACCUGCAAACUGAAGUGGUCGACCCUAACACCACAUUCCUAUGAGAAAUAUUUCUGGUGCAGGGUGGAAGAAAUACCUUAAGCGUACUUAGUAUUUUAUUAUAGAAUCCAGAGACAACCAACAACAACAGUAAUAAUAAAGCUUUAAAAAACAAAGACAAAAAUAAAAACAUGCUCUAGUAUUACAAAACAUUUUCUGAAGACAUUCCAGUAGUGAAAAAAUAAAAUUAAAAUAUACUUAUGGAACAAAAAAAUUUUUUUAAAUAAGAAGAACAUUAAAAAUUAUAAAAAAAAAAAACACAAACCAACUACAAAUAAACAUUGUGAUUAGAAAAAUUUAUUUAUAAAACACAUUCUUUGAAAAUGUCUAUAAAGGCGGAAAUUAGAGUAAGUGUAUGCUUAAGGCAAAAGAUGAAUUUAGGUAGCAGGGUUGAAGAUGUGUGUGAGGGAGAGGCUAAUGGUGUUGGGGGUAUGGUACAGGGGGUGGGGCAGUGGUGCUGGUUUAUGUGUUGGGAGAGUGGUGAAAUGUCUAGUUUACACAAUUGAAAUAAUGCCAAGUCCUAUUUUAACAAUAUAUUUUUCCAAUUUGCCAAGUGGGUAGUGUUGGAGAAGAACAUGAAAAAAUAAAAACAAAAACAGUAUCUUGUAGAGGUCUGCUCUAUCAACUCAUUCGCAUAAGGUUGAUAAUUAAAAUUUCACUAUCUUCCAACUUGAUGAGACUUUUGUUUCUUUCUUAUUUUAUUUUAUUUUGUUAUUUUUUGGUAAUUUUUGUCUUUUUCUUCUUGGCUAUAAUAAACUUUGAGGCAAGACAUUUGAUCAUGAGCAAGCUGGAUUGGUCAAUAACUAGCAUUCUUUGCAUUCUCACUCCUCAUUUCUGAUCUCUUCCUCCAACCCCUUCUCUCUGCAUAUGAACAGACAAUUGCAGAAUAAGUAGAGUUGAACAAAAUAUCUUGUGAUACUCCCUAUGAUUAUCCAUAUCUUCUCUGUUAUUUGUGGUGCAGUUGAUUAGGUGCAGGCCAUGUUUGCAGCCCCUAGUUAAUCUUAAUACUUCAGACCUAAAAUCAAAAGCAUUCCAACCAUGGCCAUCCCAAUAUUUUUUUUCAAGGGUUUUAGAAUGCAUCAUGUCUCUAACUAGUUUCAGUUCAAGAACUGUGGCCAUGCUGGGGCACCACCAUUAUCUGUGUACUUCUUUUUAAGAUGGUAGGGUUUGACUUGAAGGAGAUUUAGCUGCUGUUUCUAAAAGGUCAAGCUACCAAAAAGAACAUAUUUCAGUUCAUACUUGAAAAUAGAUUUAUGAUACUGAUUGACUGAUUGGUCUGGUUGUUCAAAUUAUAUCUACUGAGCUAAUCAAAUACUUAGAAUUAACCACUGACCCAGCAUUAUGUGUGUGUGCGUGUGUGUGUGUGUGUGUAAAUGUUUGUUUUCAUGUUGAGUUAUAAUAAAAACAAUUUUACAUUAAUCUGAUAGGUUACUCUAUGCUUUUGUGGAGUACAAAUUUAUUAUUUCUAAACAAAAAUAUUGUUGAAGUUUUGGCCAGUGAUGGCUUAGCUGGCCAAAACUUCAAAGUCAUUGUCAACAACAUUUUUGUAUAUAUUGUGCGCAUGCACACACACACACACACACACACACACACACACACACACACACACACACACACACACACACACUGCUUCCAGCUGUUCAGUAUUUACAUUGUACAUAUUAUUGUGCAGUUGUUGCUUAGUCCUUGGUCAGCCCUUUUGAAACUGAUCAUCUGAUCUUUAUUAGACAUGGUCUCUAAUAUUCUAUUCAAAUUGAUGGAGGUGGGGUGUAAUGCAGUUGUAUAGAGACUCCUUCAGUUUGUUACGCAGUUGAUUAAGUAGGUAUGUUGUGUUAUAUGGAGUCAGUUACAGUGUAGCAGUGUUGUGUGGUUUGUAGAUGCAGUGCUAUUAUAUAGGAAUGUUGUGUGAUGUAUACAUGCAGCCUGGUUAUAUAGGAAUAUUAUGUGAUCUAUAGGUCAGAGUGUGGUUAUGUAGGAAUGUUGUGUAGUCUAUAGAUAGUGGAGUUAUGUAAGAAUGUUGUGUACUAGUGUGUGUAUGCUGCAGAAUGUUAGUUAAUUUUUUUUAAAUAUUAAGAUGUUUUUGUGUUAUGUUAUGGUAUGUGCAGCCACUGCUCAUUUGUUCACAUAUUCUUCUGUACAUAUACUGAAGGCAUGCACACACACACACACACACACACACACACACACACACAUGUUUAUGUGCAUGUUUGUGUAUUUGUGUGUGUGUAUACAGAGAAAGAGAGUGAGGUAUAUGUGUCUGUGCAGACAGAAAUAUAUACACACAAACGUGUACUUAUACACAUGCAAAAUAUACCUACAUACAGUCUUAUAUAUUUGAAGAUUUGUAUAUAUAUAUUACUCAGCAUAUCUAGGUAUUUCUCUCUCUGUCUCUGUGACUGUCUGUCUGUCUGUCUAUCUGUCUCUCUCUUAUGAACACACACCCCUCUAAAUAUUUUCAUUUGUAUAUAGAUAGGAGCACAUCAUUUCAUUACCAUAUAAAUGUCAGGUUACAUCUGACAUAUUGUUUUGAGGUUUUUACCUGUUUGCAAAGUCAGUUUAGUGUAGGUAAGAAUGUACACAUUUAUGUAUUACACUGCGUCUCUCUUUCACAUAUUCCCUGCCUGUCUACCUCUGUCUAUGUGUCUGUCUGUCCCUCUCUGGUUGUCUUUCCCACUCUCUUUCUCUUUCUAUAUAUCAUUCUCUCUUUGUCUGCUUCUCCUUUCAUAUUUGAGAAAAUUGAUGAGUAUACUAUAUAUUCUCCAAAAAUGAAAAUUCUUUCAUUCUUCGCUUAAUUAAAUUUAUUGUUACAGACGCUCUUUCUCUCUCUCUCACACACACACAGAUAUCCAAAAUUUAUGCAUCAGCUUUUUGUAACUGGAACAGCUAUAUGUUGAUAUGUUUGUGCAUUUAUUUAUUUUCUUUUCUUUUCAUUGUUCAGCCAAGAACUGCAAGUAACCUUGAUAGUUUGGAGUUUGACUAAGAUAAGGAAUGUAGUAUUAACUUUCUGUGACAAACUUGAUAUAUUUUAGUAAAUGGUUUUAGCCGUUGUAAGAUAUCUUUGUAAAACGUUUUGUAUCUGUAUAUAAAGGGUAUAGGCAUGGCCGUGUGGUGAGAAGUUUGCUUCUCAACCACAUGGUUCCACGGUCAAUCACACUACAUAGCACCAUGGGCAAAUGCCUUCUACUAUAGCCUUGGUCUGACCAAAACUUUAUGAGUGGAUUUGGUAGACACAAACUGAGAUUAUAUAUAUUGGUUCCACUUGGGCCAAGCAAUACUAAUAAACUGGUGCUAGAGCUCAAUUUACAUAUGUCUUACAGUAAAGCAUUAGCUGGGUACAGAGCAUUACAUGAAAUUAAACUAAUGACAAAGGAACAAAAUUAUGCAAUGAAUUUCAUCAUCUUACAGCUGUUUCUACUACAGGGUGCAGUGUAAAUAUUAGGUAUAGUUACAUUCUCAUUAUGAUCUGAAGUCUAUUUUAUUGCACUGGAGUGUUUUCAAUGAAGUUUUUAAAAAUUUCAUAGCUGGAGUGGCUGUGUGGUAAGUAACUUGCUUACCAACCACAUGGUUCCGGGUUCAGUCCCACUGCAUGGCACUUUGGGCAAGUGUCUUCUACUAUAGCCUCGGGUCGACCAAAGCCUUGUGAGUGGAUUUGGUAGACGGAAACUGAAAGAAGCCCGUUGUAUAUAUAUAUAUAUAUAUAUAUAUGUGAGUUUGUAUGUUUGUGUAUCUGUGUUUGUCUCCCCAACAUUGCUUGACAACCGAUGCUGGUGUGUUUAGGUCCCUGUAACUUAGUGGUUCAGCAAAAGAGACCGAUAGAAUAAGUACUAGGCUUACAAAGAAUAAGUCCUGGGAUCGAUUUGAUUCGAUUAAAGGCAGUGCUCCGGCAUGGCCGCAGUCAAAUGACUGAAACAAGUGAAAGAAUUAAAAUAUUUUUAAUAUUCCUUUUUUCUGAUGUAAAAUGGAAUAACAGAUGUUGACAUAAAAAGACUUUCCUGAAGGCAUAACCUUUAUCAUUUUAUACAAUCUUUGUUAUAUGUGUGUAUAUAUACACGCGCACAUAUAUAUAUACUUUUAUUAAAGCUGCUAAAUCAUCACAAAAACUGUUCCUCAGAGUUUCACAUUCCCAUUCAUUGGACAGUUGUGAUGAAAACUUGCGGCUUUAAUAAAACCAUACUACUCUGCCUUUGGUAUUCAAAUACUAUUUGUUCUAACUUGUUUUGCACUUAUGUGCUCACCUGUGUGUGUGUGUAUGGGAAAGUGAGGCUUAUCCCUUGGUUCUGUUCUCAUAAUUGUUUCACUAAUCCAAUAACAACGAUGCAAAGUAUGUAGCCCUUAAAACAGUUUUUGUGCUUUUACAUAGAAUACUGAACUGUCUUACACAGGGUUUUGUUUUUAGGAAUUCCCAAUAAGUUAUGAAUACCCAAAUUGUGAAGUCAGUUAUAUAAUAAUAUGAAAUUACUUACCCGAUAGUAAGAAUUCAAAUAAAGUAGGCUUUAUUGUAAGAUCCUGUGUAAGACAGUUCAGUAUUCUUAUUUUGGUUAGUGACUUUCCUAUUGUUUAGGAAAAUACUAUUUACUUGUUUAAGGCUUGUACUGCGUAAAUUGCAAAAAUAACUAACAGUUCAAAUACUAAGAAAUAAGCAUACUGAAUUUCAUUUUUACCAAAUAAUUUAGGAAAAUGAAUAGUUUAUUUCCCUUGGCUAUGUAUAAGGAUUCCUUCCAGGGGCGAACGGGUUAUUUCCCUGGGUUCUUAAAAUAAAAUAUAUUAGAUAUAUAUAAGGAUCUCUUCCAGGGGCCCUAUUAUCGAUUUUUUUCAACAAUCUGAGUUUGCUAUGAGGUUUCCAGAGAUGAGUUCUACUCACUGGUCAAGUUUCAUCAAAAUUGAUAAAACGAUGUAGGAGGAGUUAGUUAACAACUUCACAAACACACCCAUAGACAGAAUUCCCCACAUUUGUAGUAGAUAUAUAUGUUCUAUGGAAGAUAUUUGUCCUCAGCCAUCUGGACUUUUUCUCUCAACCAUAAUCACUCCUUUGUCAAUUUAAUAGUGGAACUUGAGGUAGUUCAGCUGUGCUACAACAAGAAGAUUGCAUUAGUCAAAGAGUGAGCUACUGGAGAAACUAAAAGAAUUUUGACUCCUUGGCGUGAAAACAAGCGAGUUAUGUAGUGGUUAUACAUAAGGAAGAUCCUAGAGGAACUGGCAUCAAACUUUGGGAUCUAGAGUUAUUCCAACCCCAUAACAGGAUAUCACUACAUUAUUCCAAAGAUCUCAGCCAGUUUGUCUAGAGUAAGAACUAGGUACUGCAAUAGCUUGGGGUUUAAAGGCCCACAGCUAUUUAAUAUCAUGCCAAAAUACCUGAGAGAACUACAUGGAGUGAAGGAUAGAUGUUUUCAAGAAGCACCUUGAUCUUUUGUUCUCCAAGAUUCCAAAUGAACAUACAUCACAGCAAGAAACUUAAACAAGAGCAGCACUAUCAAACUCACCCUAUCACCAAAAGCCAAUCACAUAAAAAUGGCUAUUGAAAAGAUUCUGACAGCACUGUCGCACCAUGGACGCAGCCUUUGGGCUGAAAUGCAUUGAGGAAUAUAUGUGUGUGUGUUUGUGUGUGUGGUUAUAACUUUCCACAUAUUGGCCAUGUUAAGGUAAUUUUGGUGUGCAUGUAGGUUACACUGUUGUUUCUUUAAUAAAAUCAAAAUAAUUUAGUCAGUGGUAGAAAUCAGAGCCCAUUGCCAUAUCAGGUCUGCCUGGACUUGUGAGAUUGAUGUGGUUAAUAUUUGGUUAUAACAUCAACAGAUAAACAUCUGCAAAAUGCAAAUUAAUGAUCUGCUCUGAACAGUUGAAGCAGAUUAAACUUUCUUAAAGGCACCCAGUGACCAAGUAUUAAACUAAAUGUUUAAAAGCAUUCCAACCAUGACUAUAAUCAUUCAAUUCGUAUUUAUAUAAUAUGUUAUUCCAUUUUUAGAUGGUAGAAUAUAAUUUAAAGAAUAUUUGACUGCAAUUUGUAGCAGCCCAAAUGGUCACACAGAGGCUUGUGUUUAAAUUGGCAUUUAUUAAUUAAGAUUCCUUAAACAAUCUAUCUCAAUCCUUAGCAUAUCUCACAAUUUUAUUCUAUUUCUCUUUUACAGUCAGCCGCUUAUUCUGUGAAUCUGAAUCUUUCAAGAUGUAUCUUAUCUUGGAUGUCAAUACACAGACGUAUCCAGUGGAACUUGGUAAGUCACACUUCAUUUGAUACUUUAAUUGGUUUGUUUUGUCUCUACAAUUCACUGUCUAUCUUUUAUGUCACUCUCUCUCUCUCUCUCUCUCUCUCUCUCUCUCUCUCACACACACACACAUAUUUUCUCUCCCAUGUACAUUUAAC